rnacentral:lncRNA from 1 species
UUUUUUUUUUUUUUUGGUGAUGGGGAAAGAGGAGUUUUUUUUUGUGUCAAACCUCUAGAUGCACGAAAAUAGAAGAUUUAGCUUGGCUUAUAUGUUUUUUGUAACAACUAAGAACAAAUUUAAGAUCAAUUUCUAUUCUUGACAAUCUCUAAUGCCGCAUAGUUUCUCAGUAAACAAUAUUAGGCACACAAAUUUCAUUAAAUGAUAAUUUUUUGAGCACUGAAAACAUAAUAGAGAAGAACAUGCCAUAAACUACGGGUAAAAGUAGUAUAUGUUGAAUUAAAGGCUACAAAAGCAAAACCCUCUUUCUUAUUCCAGGUAGCCAUCAGAAAUUUACAGUACCAAUUCUUUUAGUCGCCUUCUAUUGCACAUUAGCAAAAUACUUACAACUCAUCAGACUACUCUUAAACAGUUUACUUACUAUUAAUUCUGAAUUACAAUGCAAUGCACAAGCAGAAUUUGUGAGUGUAAACUGUCAACUGGAUUUUGCUUGACAACAACCUGUAAGAAGAAAUCAAAUGGAGGGUACUAUGGCAUUUGAUGAGUUGGUAUGCCUAUUCUUGUGCUUGCAAACAAAUUAAUUUGAAAAUAAUAUCCGAAUGUAUAAUAGGAAUCUUCUGACAUACGUUAAUUUUAGGUAGCCAACUCUAAAAGUUCCAUUAAGAAGAAAUUUUUCAAAAGAUCAUGCUAUAUGCUUCAUGGCCAUCAUUCAAUAUAUGAGACAUAUGCAUUUGUUUAGAAAAAUAAGAAAAACAGCCAAAGAACACUAUGAAUGACACAUGUACACAAAGAAAAAUUUGUGUAAUGGCAUUUAUUCUUUUAUGAAGAGGGAAAAAGAGAAAGAAGGGAUAAUUAGAAUUGAUAAAAUAUCAUUAAUUCUGAAAAAGCAUAAUAAGAAAAAAUGUCUAUAUGUAUGUAUCCACUUGGAUGAAACAUACCUUCAUCUAAUUCAUUGCCCAUGCUCGAAUCUUUGACAGGAGACAUUUGUUCCUCAAGUGAGGUUUUGUCCUCCACCUGAUCAAUUACCAUAGAUGAUCCUCAUUGCUCCAACAAUUUUUUUUUUUGGCUAGAGAAGAAUCAGGCUAUCCACUGUGGACAAAAAGUCAAGCUCAUCUGAAUCAAGUUUAACUGUGACAGUUUUAAUCUCUUGACUUUGAAAGCUAUAAAGACUUAAACCUUGAUUUUCCCCUUUAAACAUAAUUUGAUCAUUCUUGGUUAUGGUAAAUGGUCUAUAAAUUGUCCCUCCAACUUCGACAUUAAAUACUUUACUCCAUGAUUCAACCACUCCAUAUUCCUUCAUCUCCCACAGAGAGCAAAGUUCAGUUGUUUCUUGAGGAUAAAUGACCACAAAACCAAGAGCUUCCUUAUGAACAAUACUCUCUACAUAUUCAGCUACAUCGUCCUCAUAAUGAGGCACUGUAAUUUGCUGAAAGGCUUCUUUCUCAAGAUCAAAGGCCAAAAUCAUCGAUUCAUCCUCGUUGACGCGCCUAUAGAACACCAUCCAAUGGACACAAUUGUUAACGAAUGCUCUAGUAAAGUAAUCACACAAGAACCACGGAAAAGACUGGAUUUCAACUUUUCUCCAAGAAUCUCUGGUCAAUGAAUAAACUUCAACCUCUGUAGUUCUAUCGUCAUUACUACUUGACUCAGCCUUACUAGCACUAAUAUCCUCAUCAAUCUCCAUUUCAAUUAUCUCAUUGCCAUCACCACCAAUAUCAUCAUGAUCAUCACCAUCCAUAUAGUCAUUGUCCUCAUCCAAGAAAUGAUCAUCAUCUUUUUCAAUGUACACAAUUCUUACGAUCUUAUAGUCAUUUGCUUGGUUGAGAUAACCAAAUCCAACAGCCAAGGAACUACCUAGCCUAUUUGACUUCUUUAUGUCAAUACAUGAAGAGGAAAUGCACUUGUAUUUUCUAAUACAAGGAUUCCAUAAAUACAAGUUCUUCCCAAAAUUAUAUGCGCACUCAUAAGUACUAAACCAUAGGAUGAAGAAACAUGGAGGCAAUGACGAGAAUCAAAUGUAGAUGGAAGUCCCAUUUUAUAGGCAAAAUUGGGGUCUUUAGCACAAAGCAAAUCAGAUUUGGCAGGGCUAAAAACCUUGAUUGGACCACAUAAAAUGUACUCAUUACCCCUUGAAGCCAUAAUCUGGAGAUGAUUUUGGAUGAACUCGGCAUUGGUGAUCAAAGCAUACCAUGCUUUGGAGACACGCAUGAGACGGAUCAGCUGGAAGAAGCAACAGUAUAGUAACAAUCACCUCAAAAGGAAGAUCUUCUUGCGCCAUUGUUCUUGGAUUGGAAUCGAAUGAGGUUGUUUGGUUUUUUAUGGUUGUUAGGCUUUUAAAUAGAUAGCCUGAAACCUUCAACAAAUCGGGUACUACGAAAACUGAUUUUUGACUGAUGUUUGAGGUUUGUUAAGCUUUGGAACAGGUGGGCUGAAAUUGUCACUAAUGCAGCUACCAUGAAAACUGACUCUAUAUCAUUUUCUCUUUCACUCUUAAUCUAUCUCUAGAGCUACUGUAUAAAUGUCUGGAACCUUAAGCUGCUGAAAGGUGAGUUAUAGAGCAAGACAAUUGCCUCGAAGAAGCUAAAUUUUCAAUCGAAAUUAGUAAAGUGAUAGGUUUCAUUACAAACGAUGCAACGCCUUGAAAAAUUUGUGACAGUGGGAUAUAGUUGAAAAUGUGAAUUCUUGUUUUGUUGUGAGUCUGCUUAAUGGUGUUUGAGUCAGAUAUCAUAAAUUUCUUUUAUUGACUUUUUUAUCUUGAUUUGAUUUUGCUUACAGCCAUCUUUUUUGUUAAUUUAAGAUGAUACAGAGUCCGAUAAUAUUACAUUACAUCACAUAUUUAAGUUUAAGGAAUUAGAUUUACCUUAGUUAUUUUAUAUAAUUUAGCAUCCAUAUAUAAAAUUUUAUCUUUCCAUAUAUACAUUAUGAAAAUCUGGGUUGAAUACUUAUCCAGUUGGUGAUAAAUCAUUUAAUGAAUUCUAUAAUGGCCUUAAUUACAUAUAUACUCCUUUUUCCAAUGUGAUGACAUCAUAUUCAUUUUUAUGACAUAGAAAAAAACGUACCGAUGUAAUUUCGGAUUUGGAACAUGUAGGCUGAAAUUGUCACUGAUACAAUUACUAUCAAAAUUGAUUCUAUAUCGCUUUCUCUUUCACUCUUAAUCUAUCUCUAGAGCUACUGUUUAAAUGCCUGGAACGGCCUUAAGCUGCUGAAGGGUGAGUUCUAGAGCAAGACAGUUGCCUCGAAGAAGCUAAAGUUUCAACCGAGAAUUAGUAAGUGUUAGGCUUCAUUACAAAUGAUGUAAUGCCUUGAAAAGUUUGUGACAGUAGGAUUGAGUUGCGAACGUGAAUUCUUGUCUUGUUAUGAGUCUGCUUAACGAUGUUUGACUCGGAUAUCACAAUUUUCUUUUAUAGGCUUUUUUGUCUUGAUUUGAUUUUGCUUACAGUCAUAUUUUUUUGUUAAUUUAAGAUGAUAUAGAGUCCAAUAAUAUUACAUUACAUCACAUAUGUAAAUGUAAGUUUAAGGAAUUACAUUUACCUUAUUUAUUUCAUGUGAUUUAGCAUCCAUAUAUAAAAUUUUAUUUUUCCAUAUAUACAUUAUAAAAAUCUGGGUCGAAUACUUAUCCAUUUGGUCAUAAAUCAUUUAAUGAAUGCUAUAAUGGCCUUAAUUGCAUACUCCUUUUCCAGUGUGAUGACAUCAUAUUCAUUUUUAUGAAAAAGAAAAAACUUACAGAUGUCAUUUCUGGUUCGUAUUUUUUGGAUCAUGGUGUGCACAUGUUGCACCAAACAUGAAAUAUAAUAGCAUAAAUCUAAACUGACUCUAUAAGGUUGCGAUAAGGUUUGGAACAUGUAGGUUGAAAUUGUCACUGAUACAACUACUAUCAAAACUGACUCUAUAUCGUUUUCUCUUUCACUCUUAAUCUAUCUCUAGAGCUACUAUAUAAAUGUCUGGAACCUUAAACUGCUGAAGGGUGAGUUCUAGAGCAAGACAAUUGCCUCCACAAAGCUAAAGUUUCAACCGAGAAUUAGUAAAGUGUUAGGCUUCAUUACAAACGAUGUAAUGCCUUGAAAAGUUUGUGAUGGUGGGAUUGAGUUGUGAACGUGAAUUCUUUUCUUGUUGUGAGUUAGCUUAAUGGUUUUUGAGUCGAAUAUCAUAAUUUUCUUUUAUUGACUUUUUUGUCUUGAUUUGAUUUUGCUUACAGUCAUAUUUUUUUGUUAAUUUAAGAUGAUAUAGAGUCCGAUAAUAUUACAUUACAUCACAUAUGUAAUGUUUAAGGAAUUAGAUUUACCUUAUUUAUUUCAUGUGAUUUAGCAUCCAUAUACAAAAUUUUAUUUUUCCAUAUAUACAUUAUAAAAAUCUAGGUUGCAUCAAUGUUUUUAAACCCGGACCGGAGAGUGAAUCGGAAAACCUUCCGAUUCAUGGUUCGACCCCAGUUCAAAGGUUUAAUAAAAUAUUUUUUCAUAAAAUAAUUUUUUAUUCAUUUUAGUAUUAAAAAUUUUGAAUAAAACUAAAAUAUUUAUUUUAGAAAAUAAAUACUUAAUAAAAACCGAUUGAACCUCCCAGUUUUUACCGGUUUUUAUCGAUUCAACCGGUUUUGACUGGUUCAAUUAAUUUUUUGGGUUUUUAAUUGAACAGGACCGGAGGCAUGGCCGGUUCGCGGUUCAACUGGUCGAACCAGCUGAUCUGGUUCGAUUUUCAAAACAUUGGGUUGAAUACUUAUCCAUUUGGCCAUAAAUUAUUUAAUGAAUGCUAUAAUGGCCUUAAUUGCAUACUCCUUUUUCCAAUGUGAUGACAACAUAUUCAUUUUUAUGAAAAUGAAAAAAAAAACUUAUAGAUGUCAUUUCUGGUUCGUAUUUUGUGGAUCAUGGUGUGCACAUGUCGCACCAAGUAUGAAAUAUAAUAGCAUAAAAUCUAAACUGACUCUAUAAGGUUGCUAUAAGGUUUGGAACAAGUAGGCUGAAAUUGUCACUGAUACAAUUACUAUCAAAACUGACUCUAUAUCGCUUUCUCUUUCACUCUUAAUUUGUCUCUAGAGCUACUAUAUAAAUGUUUGGAACAGCCUUAAGCUACUGAAGGGUGAGUUCUAGAGUAAGACAAUUGCCUUGUAGUUGCUAAAAUUUCAACUGAAAAUUAAUAAAGUGUUAGGCUUCAUUAUAAAUGAUGUAAUGCCUUGAAAAGUUUGUGACGGUGGGAUUGAGUUGCGAACGUGAAUUCUUGUCUUGUUGCGAGUCUGCUUAAUGGUGUUUGAGUCAGAUAUCACAAUUUUCUUUUAUUGGCUUUUUUGUCUUGAUUUGAUGUUGCUUACAGUCAUAAUUUUUUGUUAAUUUAAGAUGAUAUAGAGUUCGAUAAUAUUACAUUACAUCACAUAUGUAAAUGUAAGUUUAAGGAAUUAGAUUUACCUUGUUUAUUUCAUGUGAUUUAGCAUCCAUAUAUAAAAUUUUAUUUUUCCAUAUAUACAUAAUAAAAAUCUGGGUUGAAUACUUGUGCAUUUGGUCAUAAAUCAUUUAAUGAAUGCUAUAAUGGCCUUAAUUACAUACUCCUUUUUCCAGUGUGAUGACAUCAUACUCAUUUUUAUGGAAAAGAAAAAAACUUACAGAUGACAUUUCUUGUUCAUAUUUUUUGGAUCAUGGUGUGCACAUGUUGCACCAAGCCUGAAAUAUACAAGCAUAAUAUCUAAACUGACUCUAUAAGAUUGCUAUAAGGUUUGGAACGGGUAGACUGAAAUUGUCACUGAUGCAGCUACUAUCAAAAUUGACUCUAUGUCGUUUUCUCUUUCACUCUUAAUCUAUCUCUAGAGCUACUGUAUAAAUGUCUGGAACCUUAAGCUACUGAAGGGUGAGUUCUAGAGCAAGACAAUUGCCUCAAAGAAGCUCAAGUUUCAACCAAGAAUUAGUAAAGUGUUAGGUUUCGUUACAAAUGAUGUAACGCCUUGAAAAAUUUGUGAUGGUGGGAUUGAGUUGCGAACGUAAAUUCUUGUCUUGUUGUGAGUUCGCUUAAUGGUUUUUAAGUCGAAUAUCAUAAUUUUCUUUCAUUAACUUUUUUGUCUUGAUUUGAUUUUGCUUACAAUCAUAUUUUUUGUUAAUUUAAGAUAAUAUAGAGUCAAUUCUGAUAAUAUUACCUUACGUCACAUAUGUAAGCAUAAGGAAUUAGAUUUACCUUAUCUAUUUCAUGUGAUUUAGCAUCCAUGAAUGAAAUUUUAUUUUUUCAUAUAUACAUUAUGAAAAUCUGGGUUGAAUAUUUAUCCAGUUGGCCAUAAAUCAUUUAAUGAAUGCUAUAAUGGCCUUAAUUACAUACUCCUUUUUCCAAUGUGAUGACAUUAUAUUCAUUUUUAUGAUAAAGAAAAAAACUUACAAAUGUCAUUUCUGGUUUGUAUUUUUUGGAUCGCAGUGUACACAUGUUGCACCAAGCAUGAAAUAUAAUAGCAUAAAAUCUAAACUGACUCUAUAAGGUUGUUAUAAGGUUUGGAGCAGGUAGGCUGAAAUUGUCACUAAUGCAGCUACUAUCAAAACUGACUCUAUGUCGCUUUCUCUUUCACUCUUAAUCUAUCUCUAGAGCUACUGUAUAAAUGUUUGGAACCUUAAGCUGCUGAAAGGUGAGUCCAAGAGCAAGACAAUUGCCUCAUAGAAGCUAAAAUUUCAACUGAAAAUUAAUAAAGUGUUAGGCUUCGUUAUAAACGAUGUAAUGCCUUGAAAAGUUUGUGAUGGUGUGAUUGAGUUACAAACGUGAAUUCUUGUCUUGUUGUGAGUCUGCUUAAUGGUGUUUGAGUCAGAUAUCAUAAUUUUCUUUUAUUGUCUUUUUUGUCUUGAUUUGAUUUUGCUUACAGUCAUAUUUUUUGUUAAUUUAAGAUAAUAUAGAGUCGAUUUUGAUAAUAUUACAUUACCUCACAUAAAUAAGUUUAAGGAAUUAGAUUUACCUUAUUUAUUUCAUGUGAUUUAGCAUCCAUAUAUAAAAUUUUAUUUUUCCAUAUAUACAUUAUGAAAAUCUGGGUUGAAUACUUAUCCAGGAGGCCAUAAAUCAUUUAAUGAAUGCUAUAACCCUCUUCAUGUACUCUCUCGCAAUUGUUGCACUUAAAUGAAAUCCUACCUAGCCUGGAAGGCUAGAACCAUUUUCCAAAAACCAGAUAUAUAUAUUCAUUCCAUUGAUAUUAAUUUGCUGUGAAGAAUUGGAUCUCCUGAAAAUUUAUUAUAGCCCUCUCAAACUCUAAUGCACACAGGAGAGAAAAUGGAUGGAUCAAAAAGAGUCGAGAACGGUUGCAAAAGCAUGUCUUCCUUUUAAGAUCAUUACCAUUGCUUAUAGCAUCACUCGUAAAAGUCUAAGUGAUUAGAUUACCUUUGCCUGACAGUGGGAUUGGGUUGAGAAUAUAAAUUUUUGUCUAUAUGUGAGUUUGCUUAGUGGUGUUUGAGUCAGAAAUUGUAAUUUUCUUUUAAUGGCUGUUUUGUCUUGAUUCGAUUUUGCUUACAGUUGUAUUUUUUGUUAAUUUAAGAUAAUGUAGAGUUGAUUUAGGUAAUAUUACAUUACAUCACAUAUAUAAAUUCAAGGAAUUAGAUUUACCUUACUUAUUUCAUUUGAUUUACCAUUCAUAUAUAAAAUUUUAUUUUUCCCUAUAUACAUUAUGAAAAUGUGCGUUGAUUACUUAUCCAGUAGGCCACAAAUCAUUUAAUGAAUGCUAUAAUUAAUGGCCUUAAUUACAUACUCCCUUUUUCCACAAUGGUGAUAUCAUAUUCAAUUUUUUGAAGAAAAUAACUUACAAACGUCAUUUCUGGUUUGUAUUUUUCAGAUCAUGAUGUGCACAUGUUGCACCAAGCGUGAACCGUAAUAGCACAAAAUCUAAGUUGUUUUGUGCAUUUAUCUUCUUACCAUCUAUAUUAGCUCAUUCAAGAGUACUAUAGGAUAUUUCUUUCGGAAUUUUUUGAUGUCAAAAGUUUGUUUUACAUGAAAAAUAGCGAAAGCCACUUCGUGCACUUUCUCUCAAGCCUGGCUAUAUCCAUUCCAUUGAUAUAAAUUUGUCACGAAGAAUUGGCUCUCUUGAAAAUUUAUUAUAGCCCCCUCAAACUCUGAUGCACACAGCAGAGAAAAUGGAAGGAUCAAAAAGAGUUGAGAACAGUUGCAGAAGCCUAUCUUUCUUUUGAGAUCAUUACCAUUGCUUAUAUAAGUGAUUUUAGUAUUUAAACAUAAAAUUUCGUUUUUCCAUAGACUAUGAAAAUCUAGAUUGAAUACUUAUCAACUUGGCAAUAAAUCAUUUAAUGAAUGCUUAGAUUGGGAAAUCAAAAGGGUUUUAGUGAUCUUAUCAUUUGAUCUUGGAAAAGAGGCCUUUAAACAAAUUGGUUUGCUAUCUAUGACAACCUUGGAAGUCCUGAACUUCAGACGUUUUUAGGUGUGUUCAGAUAAUGCCUUUCUCUUUUUGUUUACUGCCCUAUAGAAGAUAAUCUGAGGGCUCAACAUACACUGUGAAUUUUUGGGUCAUGAAAGAGUAUGGGAAGGUAAAUUCCUGGACUAGGUUGUACUCCAUUGUAGUAGAAAGAAGAAUUUGUAGGUCCGUCAAGUUUACUAAUCGCAGCAAAAUCAUACUUCUUAAUGAUGCUGCACAUGCUUUUGUGCAUAAUUUUAAUAGUCAUGGCAUUGUGCAUCUUGGGGCUGUGGGUUAUAUAUGGCUUAACUAAUUUUGUCAACUUCAAAUGUUAUCUGGUUUUGAUUGAUGAAAUAAUUGAACUGCUGCAUCGAUCAAGAAGCGUCACCCUCAGGUGUUAAAUGCGAGGAUAUCCAAGCUUCAGUCAAGGAAGAGGGCACACCAACUGCACAACCUCCACCAAUUUGUCUGCUUUUAUGUGCUUCUUCAUUAACAUUUUUGGUCCUAGAAAGUUGACAGAACUCCAGUCGUGCAACAUUAUAACCUAAAUUUAUGUUGCAAUCAUCAUUUGAUUAUUUAUUUGCUAUUGAAGAUUGCUAGUUCUUGGAAAUUCUUUUCUUCUUCUCUUUCUAGGUUGGCUUGGCGAGUGGAGGGUGGCAAAGAAUUAUCAAUCGUGGCAUUCUUGAAGAUAAGCAAACAUGGAAGCAGCUAGGCUUGACAUGUUUCAGCGCAUUAGAAGGAGAAGGGUUUCAUAAAUGCUGUUUUGCAUUUCUGUUGAUUGAGAGAACAGAUCGCCUAGAUUUCAAAACUACUUGAAUUUUAUGCUAUUUCAGGGACGUUUUGUUUCCAACUUAAGAACAUUUUUAUUGUACUUUUUGUUCUUGAUGUCAGUUCUGUUAGCCUAAUUAUAUUGCUACGAGUAAGAUCUCCUGUGGUAUGGUGGAACAAAGAUUUUCGAUUAUGUUUAGAAUAACAAAAUGGUCGCUCCUUGCUUUUACCCAAACCAAAUUGCUGUUCUCUUCUACCAAAAACCAAACUGCUAUUCUCUUCCUUCUUAACUACACAAAGUAUUUGAGAAUAAGAGGAAUCUCAAUUUGUUGAAGUUCCUUACAGUUUGUACGGGUUUCAUAUAAUUUGCAGGUGGCAAUGAUGCCAUGCGAGCAUAUUUCAACUCUAAUUCCUAGCAGGCGCAAUCACAGAUCUAUGGUCACCUGUUCAUGUAUAUCAUCAACCUGUCUCUUCUUUUCCUCAGUUUCUUGAUUCUUACUUUCACCAAGUUGAAAAACAAAACUGCUCACGAGUGACCAAAUAAAAUAGUAACAUUUGAAGAAUAAUCUCAUCCUAAUUACAGAAAUGGUAUACAUGGUAGGGUACGAGCAAAAAGUAGAAAAGAAAAGGCUCAGCCAAAGUGCACAACUUUGUAGAAAGACAAAUUGAACUCUCCAGGCCGGGUUUCAAAAUCUUGCCUAAAAAUGAACCUUAGACAGUAGCAACAUAAAUUUGUACUAGCAGAAAAUAUUGCUUCUGUGUUUAUUUUUCAGCUGUUAUAUGUCCUAGCCUCCUGGGGUGCCAUUAAUUGCCACUCUCAAAUGUACGUCCAAAACAUAUUCUCUAGUUCAAAUCACACAAACACAACCACACACACCAUGCACAAAAAUGCUUUUGUCUACUCUUCACUGGGGGUACAUACUAAUCGACUGGGAAUCUGAGAAAGAAGUGGAAAAAAAUUUAUGAUCGAUAAUACAUUCUUCACUAAUGGUGGCUUAGCUGGUCUGUAACUCAUAAACUGAUGCGUUUGAAUACACAUCCUAUACCAGUAUCAUCAACCUGUACCAAACUUCUUUUUUUUUUUUUUUUCUAACUAACUCUGCAUUCACCAGUGAUAUAACUAAGGUCACUUUACACAAGAAAAUGAAGAAGGAAACUAAAAAGAAAGAAUAACAAAACUCGAUCAUGAUGAGAGAUGGAGAAGGAAGUUAAAGCCGAUCCAUGGGUGUGAAGGGGAUGGCUUUAUUAAUAGAAAUGCGGUAUCCAACAAAAAUUGAAAUGCAGAAGGAAACAACAGAGAGGAGAAGAGCAAAGCCACUGGCAGCACCCCAAGCGCUUCCUGAUUUUCCUUUAACUGGCGAAGAAGAGCCUGGGGACACAUCUAAGGGUACCCAGUCACAGCUGACGGAAUAAUGAGCUGAUCCAUGCCAUGGAUUUCCAUCACUGGGGUACCAAAAAGCAGCUGAAAACUUGCUUGAUUGACCAAUGGUGAAUUGUACAUCCUACAUGCAAAAUCAAAAAAAAAAAAAAAAAAAAAAAUUUAACACAAAAUAUAGAUCCUACAAACAAAAUCGAGAAUUUCGUUAUGCAAAAUUCAUUUUUCGUAUGCCAAGCAAUACUAAAAAGCCUUCUAAAGGUAGGUAAGCCAGAAUAUUGUUAUUAGUUAUCUAUUAGAAAAAGUGAAAACAUUAUUAAAUAAACCAAGCAUCAAGCAUAAGACAAUCAUCAGAGAAGUAACAUUAUAGCAUUCUUCUUCAAAUUGCAGAACCAUGCAAUCAAUAAUUAUUGUACGCAUAUUUGAGCCUCUAAUUCAACAGUUUUAACUAAAGUCUCUCAUGCUAGACGUAACAACAACAAAUAUUUGACAAUUACUGAUAUGAAAUCUGCAGGCAUCAAACCCAAGAAAAUAAAAGUCCAAGGGCUGCAUUACUCUUAGUCCCAUGCAUACUGAAAUACUGUGGUUUGUGAUUCUUCUUCCAUUAAAUUAGACAACACAAAAGCUAAAAAGCAGGCACAACCUGCUGUAGACUAUCCAUGCUUCGGAGAGGCCUGGAAAAUUCAAAGUAGUAUGUGCCUUUCUGACCGGAAGAUGCAUAAGGACUAUCUUCUGCCACAAAACCUGUCAUGCAAAGGGUAAAUUUUAUUCAGAAGAAACUGAAAAUUUGGCGGUCACAUUGAAAUCAACUGCAACACAUAUGGAAAUAGAAUUGGAAACUUAUAAUUAAUAUGAAAACAAUGCAACGUAAAUUUGAAAAUGAUCAAUAGCUAUCACUACAUCAACUGUCCACGUAUGAAGUAAUAGCUGCUUCAGCUAACAGCCAACGAUGACAGUUUUGAUUUCUUUGAUAACCGCAUAGCUUAAACUGUCACCAAAUACUGAGACAUUGACUCCUAUAAAAUUCAAGCAUCAGCCUUUUGUCAAUUCUAGGCUGACUUUUCCAUGUUUAUUUCCUAAAUGGAACACGUUCCAAACAUAAAAACAUUCACCUGUAUGGGUUGUGAAACUGCUAUGCCACCAUGCACCUCUCCAAUCAUUCUGUGCAGUGGAGUCAUUUCCUGACAAAAGUGAAAAUGAGAGAAGGGUAAAUGCUUUGCUAGCUCAUAGCGAUAGAAGCAUUUAGAUUUGCACAAUCCCUUAUUGAGGCUAUGUAAGAUAACAAUAUUCUUAUGCCAUGAAGUGAAAUAAAUGCAUCCACAAAGUCCAUCAGGGCAUUCAGAAAUCCUGACAUUGUGUAAGAAGAGAAUGACGGACAAAAACAUCAUAUACAUGGAAGUUACAGCAUUCCCUAUGAUUAUCCAACUAGUUUAUGAUGCAUAAAAACAUUUCUACUCAGCGAGCAAGCAGUUUCAGAAAAAAACUAGAACUUUACAUUCAAAAUUGUCUUUUAUGAAACUCUUGGAAGUUGUCUAAACACACCGUAAUCUGAUGCUGCACAGUUCUAACCCAUAAGGUAAGCAAAAUGUUGAUUUUAUAAAGUACAUGGUGCACUGAAGGGAUUAUCCUGGUAGUAAAAGAUUAAAGACAGAAUUUGUCAUGCAUUACUGAUGUCAGAAGAAAGAGAUAAUGGACUGUCCAAUCUCAUGAUUACCUGACGGACCAAUACCAUCAAGGUUUCUGCAAUGUGGAUUCCAAGCAUAGGUAUCAACUAAAUGGCCAAAUCUGUUUUAGACAAAUGAGAUUCCUAUUAAGGACCAGUCAUAGGAAUGUCAACUGAAUACACCAAAAGGUCAACACAAAUCCCGUUUGACAUCUACCUGUCACCUCCAUUACCCUCUCUGCUGUCUAUUGGGUUCCCACCGUACAAGCGUCCUGGAACAGCAUUUCCAAUAGAGAAAUGCAUGAUGUCAACUUCAUAGCCACGGCAGCUUGUUUUGUUGCACGUAUUUGGUGAUUCUUUACAUCCACCCAUCUUGUUGCAUCAAGAAAAAUUAACCAUUUAGGAAACAAGAUACUAAUUAGGUUGGAUAAGAGAAAAAUAAUAAAAAGGGUAAAUAAUAGUAUUAAUUGAAAUUAUAGCCUAAACAAAGUACCAAAUAAAGGAUAACAACAGUAUAUAUAAUAUAAGUCACUCAAGUGAUCCCACUUUGCUACUUACUCUGUGGUAGGUAGCACUCUCACCAACUUGAAACAUAAGUGCCACAGAUGGGCAUCCAUGAUUAUCUCUGCAUCAUUAGAAAUCCAGAGCCAUUUUCAGGAAUGAAAAUUGAAAACCACAUAUCAUACAGUGUGCCUGCAACUAAAAUCAUAAUACCAGUGAAACAGCUUAUACAUAACUGCAAGCUAACAGUGCUUCAGAUGACAAUAGUUCACACCCAUUUUCUGAGAGAUCAAGAUUGACUUCACUAAUCCAUUUGCUCUCAUCCUAUAAUUCCUUAUUCUGAACUGCUGCUCCAUUGCUUACAUAUCAACGGCCUCCCAAGAAAAUACAUCACAAAAUAUUGAACCCACAGCAGAAUUGGUCUGAUUUUACAUUAGACUAUCUAACUGAUAUUACAGCUUACUUAGUUGUCCCAGGGAUAAUAACUGAGACUCAAUAAAUGGCAGAUACCAUUUAUUUCUCAGUAGUCAUCCUAGCUGACAUAAUAGCACCAAGAAAUUUGAUCUUAGAUAGCAUUAGUGUAGCUCAUCGUAUCAGAUAUUAGAAAAGAUCCAUUAAAUGGAUUUAAUUCUUUCUUCUGGCUCGAAAGCUUUAACCUAAUUAACUGCUCUAAAAAGCCUACUAACCUCUUCUAUAGAACACCUCAGCAACUUACUAUAGAGUGGAUAUGCAAAAAAAACCAUCAGAUGAGAUGCAAAACACCCAUGUCAAAAGUAUGUAAAACUACUAGGUAUGAUUGAAUGUCUGACUAGUCAAACAUAGUUCCAAGUUAAAUUAUACAUCAAUUCCCAAGCUUAGAAUUGAGACUUUGAAACAUUAACCAAGGCAUGCAACAUAACCUCAGUCAGUGAGGUUGCAAUACUAAAGCAAAACAUGCAAAAGACACCUUAAGUUGACCAGGAAAAAUAAAGAAAUAAAUGCAGGAUGUCAUGGUUAAUACUUCCAAAGCCAAAACAUGACGACGUUAGAAUGUAAGCCAAUUCUCAUACCAUUUGGCAGCUAGCAAUUUAUGAUGAAUAGAAUUCUUGAAUUGGAGCUUAGAUUGCUUAGAUUUCAUAAAAUGUGUCUAAAUUUCUAUUGUUGGUGAAUAGGAGAAAUCUUAAAAGCUUCUUUGGAUACCACAUUCUCCUUUAUAUGAACCAAACAGCCCUGUCAAAAUCAUGAUGUAUGAAUACAGCUGCAGCAGCACUGUCCAAAAGAUUUCAAACACAGAUACAUGCAUUCCUAUCGCCAGAAAAGCCAAGGCAUCAACAGGUCAAGUUUUACUACAAUUACUUGAAAAGCAUUCAGAUAACAGCAAGCUCUUUGAUCGUUUAUUUGGAUGGGUAUACUUUUUUAAUAUUACCUUAUAUUCUAAGUGAUAAAAAAGGCCACAAAACAGCCAGCUUUUUUAGCCUUUUUUGGAAGGGUAUACUUGUGAAAUACAGCCUUACAUCAAAACUGAAGGAGGUCAUUGUUUCAUUAUUUAAUAUGUAAGCAAUUAAAAUUUAAUCUUUAGGCAAAACUGAAACUGCCACCUUGUCAACCAGAAUUUAAGCAAAAAUGUAUGAGAAAAGCAAGCAUCUUUACUGCACCACAACUUUGACUAUAUCAGGAGAUUUUUUCAUGAGUUCAGAUUUCUAAACUUAACACAGGGCACCAAAAAAAAGGAGUAUCUCUUGAUCUUUUCUAGGUUCUAUUCUAAUUUUGUUUUCAUACAAUCCAUUUGAGGUGAUUUUAUCAUUUGUCCAAGUACCUUGUAACAAUAGAAUUAAGCCACUGCACAGGAGAUUCCAAAUUUGUCCAACGGACUAGAUGCUGUUCUUGCCCGGAACAACUAUUUUUCUGCUCUCCUCCUUUAAGAUGAGAUAGGCUGCUCCUCUAAUUUCUUCAUCUCUCUUUGUUUUUAUCUCUUUCUGAUUUCUCUCUACUCUCCUCCUCCCUCCUAGUGCAAUAGAACCAUUCCUUCUAGCUUCUUGUUCUCUCUCCUCUUCCUCACUUCUUCCUUUCUUGGCUCAAUUUCUGCAUUCUCCUGUUAGUCUUCUCAUGUUUCCUUGUUCUCAUGUACUAUUAACACAUGCUUUUCCAAUUCAAAUUUCUGUUUCUGCAUUUUUUUUUUUUUUUGAUUGCUCUGCUUCCCUAUCGUAGCCAUUUCUAAACUUGGCAGUUACCAACUCUUUUUCCCCAUUUUCCCUUUAAAAAUAUUAAUGCAUCUUGCUUUUCCUCUUAUCUGUUUUCAUUAGCAGUUUCCAUUUAUCAUUAUGUCCUUGAAAUUACUAACGCUUUCACUAGUAAUUCUUGUCAGACUAACUCUCAUUCAUAUCUUAUCAAGACUUGACUACAUCAUAAUUAGAAAGGUCAGACCUAGCUGACCUUAGCUUUUCAUUUCGCGUGUAAUGAACCUCAAACCAAUUAUUCAAAAUCCAGCAACAUUAGAUUUUGCUGCACGCCUAUUAAAACAAGCUAAAUUCUUUGAAGUUAACAUUAACAGAACAAUCUCAGCUGAACUCGAUAACAGAACAAACAGAGUAUAUCACAAGUAAAAUACAGAAAAGGAAUACUAAAACAAAAAAGACUGCCAGAAAUCCACCAACUUAAAAUAAAAACUAACCCUUUUGAGUAGAUAUAGUUCCCAUCCACUUGCAACAAGAAGUACAUAUCCUUCCCAUCAUGCAAGGCCUACAUUCACAAUCAAGAAUCAUACUCAAGAAAGAAAAAACACAUCCUUUAAUCUAUAUAAUUGUUCGUACUAUAAUUUUACUAAUGCCCAUCCAUCGCUUUCCUUCUCAAAAAAAAGAAAAAAGAAAAAACUUAAAGUCGAUCCAAUCCAAGAAACGGUUCUUGAAAUCGUUUGCGCGUAAAAAGAAGUCAAAGUCAACGGACACUACCUUAACAGUCAUCUUUCCACCUUUGUAGGCAUUUUCUUCAUCCGGGUCGAGUGCCGGGAGGAGGGAGAAUUCAAACCCAUAUACAUCCUGCCAAUCGUCGGCAUGGCCGUCGAGAGUUACGACUCCGGGCCUGAACUGGGCUGGGACACGGGCCUCCGAGUCGGGCUCGCAGUCCCACUCGCCGGACUCUUCAUGGGAGGUCACCAGUUGAACUCCUGUGAAAGCCAAGACGGCGAGGGAGAAGAUGAAAAGACGAAGACGCGGAUAGAGAAGCGACAUCCUACGAAACGGCGACGUUUUACUGUUUUUUUUUAGGAGAAAGAGUCGUUGAGAUGAUUUUGGUUGGUCUGAACCCGAACAUAAAAGUAGCCUGCCCAUUUAGGACUUGUGUUUUAAAUUGACCAUACAUACAAAUACAGGUUGCCGGUUGUAAGACUAGGACAAAGUACAAGUGUUUUUUCCCUGGAUGUUUCGGUUUGUACUUUGUACUACAUCAGUUCGUUUAUAAGUACAUCUGUUUUGGGUCAUAAUUACGUGACAUAAUUGGGAUUGAUUUUUUAUGAUUUGCCUCAUUAUGCAAUCAUUGUGAUCUUUCUUUUUGGUUUCUAAGGUUAGUGAUUGUAGUGUAUCUAAGUAUUGGUUUAGGAGCACAAGUUGCCACUACUAUAACAUGUUAUAUGGCCCAACUCAAGUGGAUUAAGUUUUAUCUCAUUGGAUUAAGUUUUAUCUCAUAGAUGCCACGAUCUUUUUUUUUAACAAUUGUUGAAUUCUCUCAAACUAUUACUUCGGUGAAACAUUUAAUUACCUCUUUUUAACUGUUAAACUCUCUUAAAUUAUUACUUUUCUGCAACAAUGGAAUGCUUUCAAACUACUUGCAUGAAUAGUUUUAAUCUCUUCAAUAUAUUUUCACAUAAUAUAUAGUCUCAAAUUCACAUUGAAGUUUUUUUGCUUGGUAAAUCGGCAUUAGCUACAUAGACAAUAUCAAUGUUGAAGUAACUUGCUUUUGCCAUAAUACUUCAAUUUCCAAGAAAAAUAACUGGUACUAAAAAAUAAGCAUUAUUAUUGUAUAAAUAUGCGCAAGUUUACCCUACAUCUCUUGAACAAAAUCAAGAAAUGAGUAGAAAAGAAGAAGAAAAACAUUACAUCCACAACUUUUUUCUUUUAGAGCCCAAAAUUUUAUUACAAGCUACAAAAAGGUGUCGUGUACUCUAGGAAGCUGUUUAAAAACUUAACUCGAACUCGGGUUGACUGAGUUCGAAUCGAGUUCGAGUGCUUUGAUAAGCCAAGCAAUUCGAGUUCGAGUAUCCAGAAACAAUACUCGAAAGCUCGUUAAGUCUUAUCGAGUUUUUAAAUUUUAAUUCUUGAGUAUAUUAUUAUUAUUAUAAAAUUACCACUAUGCCCAAAAGAGUGAUUGAAUUUACGAAAUGGUUCAGGUCGUAUGAAAAAUUUUAAAGGGGAAUAAUAUCUUUUCGCUCAAAAAUUAUCAAGAAAGUAAAAUUUUCUAACUUGAACUCGAUCGAGUUCGAUAAGGCUCGCAUUAACUUGAGCCCUUGACUUGAACCCAUGCAAAUCGAGCUUGAGUUCUAUGAGCAAGCAUUGAAUUUGAGCUCGAAUUCUAAUAAUACUACUCGCUCAAGCUCGAGCUCUAAUAAUACUAUUCGCUUGAGCUCGAGCAUCCUUCUUGCAUGUCGAGUAUAUUUAAACUUGAUUCGACUCGAUUAUAUCCCUAGUGUAUUUUGGUAGUCUAAACCGACUUGCUUCAAAAGGUGUUGGAGCCAUAUGGACAUCAAUCCAUGAACUACUCAGAUUACAAAGAUCAUGUUCUUGAAGAAAUAAUAUAGCCUUCAUAUGAAUGACAAUUUUCUUGCUUUUUCAUAUUUUUUUAUUUAUAAUUAAUUUCUUUUUUGUUUGAAAGAUAAUUAAUUUCUUCUAUCAUAGGAUUUCCUAACAAGAGAUUCUCCGCUUCUAGGUUUUCCCCGUCAAGAGUUUCUUUUUUUUUUACCCCUUGCUAAAAAAGGGCUUUCAAAGCCCGGAGCAUGUUCAUUGUAAAGCCCGUAGGAAAAGAAAAAACGUAAGAAGUCCAAUUUUAAUUUCUAGCUUCGUACUGUGGAAUUGGGCUGACCUAUUCCCAUUUCCCUUUAAAAGAGACUAAUAUUUCCAAUUAGGUCCCAUUGGACAAAUGCACCACUGGACCCCAACUAAAAGAAACGAUGUAGAGAAAUGGACUAAGCUAAUUACAACUAGCCUCUUUUAGUAGUUUUCUUCAAAAGGGCACUGCAUACAUGAGCCCACAUUGGAAGAACCAAAUAACGAACGAUAGCACAUUCAAGCUAUGGGCUGCUAGCCUGCUAAGCACUUUAGGUCAUUUGUUAGCUUAAAAUAAAAUUUGUUUUUGAAUUGAAUCAAUUUUCUUGCGAAAGUAUAAAAAGUAAAAGAGGUUGUCAAUCCCAUCUGCAAAUGCAAAACUCAGACUUUAAAAAAAACUCUAUUUUAUGUUAUGCCCUUUGCAACAAAAUAUACAGCAUGAUGAAGAUGUAAAAAUAUGCCAGCGAGACAUUUAGAUGAGAGGGUUGGGUUGAGAGAUAGGGUAGGAGGAAUUGUAGGUCGAAAGUUAUGAAUUCAAGGCCUUCCACUUAAAUUUUUUUUUUUUUUAAAAAAAAAGAAGAAAAAGCGAGACAUUUAGACAAAAUUUACAAGGAAUACAAGGAUAGAAACAAUUAUGCUACAUUUUAAAGGAAUAUGAUAGCUUAAAUUUGCUAAUUGGUUUUCAAAAAUUUCUUGAAAAAUGGAGACGAGUUGAAGGGAGGUGAAGGGACUAAUAUCCUAGUCAUAUCAAUAUUGCAUGAAAGCAAAUUUGUUAUGCAAUAUAAAUGUAUUAUGAGCAAGAGGAAGAUCUUUGUAAAUUUACAAAAAUAAAUAUUAAAAAAAAACCAAAAGGAAAGUGAUAUUAUCAAAUUUUUCAUAGUUUCCCCUUUCUCUUUUUAGAUUUAGAAGGCUUUUUACUUGGACAAGUCCACAUGGUCCUCAAACCGAAUGCCUUUCCUUUUUUAUCUUUUACUUUUGCCCUUUUCUCUCCUUUUUCUUUUCUUAUGUUCCCCUCCACUUAGAAAUAUUCCCAGAGAGAUAUCAUGCUAGUUGAAUCACAUAACCAAAUUUUUGUAUCCAGCCUAAUAGUAAUACUUAAUAAUUUUCAAUUUCCUACAAAGAAAAAUAUAAAAUCCGAUCUAAAAUAAACAAACGUGAAACCAUUCAAAGUCGUGAGGACCACCAUGUGGAAGGGAAACAUCCUGAAUAUGGGAUUUUAUCAUGCCUUUAGGCUGAGAUUAAUCUAAAGUUUUUUUAGAAAAUAGAGUAAAUCUUAUAUACACUGACAAGUUAUAUUAUAUACACCAUCACCGUUGAAAUUAUUAAAUAUGUAUAAAAAUUAAAUUUUAAAUUCAAAUUUUACAUAAUUAUUAUUUAUCUAACGCUUACACAAUCGAUUUAGAAAAAAUUAAUCCUUGAAUAUAUGCUUCUCUUGUAAAUGUACAUUCUUUCGCUUGUGCAUAGAAGAGGUUCCAUUAAAUAGCGCAUGCUCUGCGCGUGGAGGUUUAUCAGUCAAGAACGUAGAGUGCAUUGCAAACAAUUAAAAUAGGAAUAUAUUUCCAUGCAUUAAACAACACUGUACAUCCAUCCAUGUUUCCCAGUUGGGAACCUAGAGCAGAUGUUGUGAUGAUAUACACUCACACAGUAUCAGUCAUACAUGUAGAGCAAUGCAAAUGGUACAGUAUUUCAAACGGCUAGUUAAUCCACAGUAACCUCAAAUCCAAUGGAGGCAAGCAUUCCUUAGGUUCCAAAUCCCAACUCCAGGACCAUGAUUAGAGCGUCCUAACUUCUAGGGGCAUACCAAUAUAUCAUCAUCUACAGGCAAAUCAAUAAGGCUCGCAAAUAUAGAGCCACUAAUGUACUCCAUCCGUUCCAUUGAAAUUAUCGUACUUUCCUUUUUGGCUGUCCAAAAAUGUUUGUUUUAUUUGAUAUUUCUAAUUACUUUAUACUCUGAAAUUUUCCUUAUAUCCUUCAUUAAUGAUGCAUAAAGACAAAUAUGAUGGGAUUGCUUUCUACUUUUUAUUUUGAUCAGCACAUCAUUAAGAGUAAAAGUGGAACAAAAGAAAUUUUUUUUGGUGAAGUAUAUAAUAUAUAAAAAGCAUAUAUUCCCAAACAUGACUAAAUAUAUGGAACAGAGAGAGUAUUAAUAACAUAACGAUUAGGUAUUUUUGCUCGAGUAAAAGUGAAAUGGAGUAAAAUAAUCGGACUUGAACCGAUCAGACUCGAGUUUGAACUCGAGUAAAGUAAAAUAAAUUUCAACUCAACAAAUUCAGAACAUGAAUUGCUUGAACUCGAACUCGACUGGACAGCAACUGAGUGUUGCUUCAUGGAAGGUGAAACAGAAACAGUACUAGGCGGAGGAGAGAUGAAUGAAAUGAAAUUGCAGCAAAGAGAGAAAUAAACUAAUAAUACAUGAAAAAAAGAAGUACGUGGGUGACGUGAUGAGUCAGAAGGGGCGGUCAAAUCAUGGCAAAUUGGGGACAAGACGUUUGAUGGCUUGUAUUUGUUUACGUUAUAUAAUCGACAAAGGGCAGUAGAUGACGUGGGUGACAGAUUGGACAGCUGAAUUUGACCCCUCAGCCUCACUCCCACGACAGCAUCCCGCGGGUUGCACGGGAGCCUUCUUUUUUUCCUUUCUCUUCUUUCCUUCCUUCCUUGAUUAUGGCUUUUUUGCUCAGCCAACGUCACACCGUCUCUCUCUCUCUCUCUCUCACACACUCACGCAGUACGAAGAUUUCUGUGUUCGUCUCUGUGUGUGGGGGUGUGAUGUGUUUUUUUUUUUAUUUUACUGUGGGGGUGGGAUUUUGUUGUGACAGGGGAAUCUAAUCCAGCUCUUUUGUGCCGAGGGUACGCCCUUAGCAGUUGACUGCCCUACAGUUGUUGCUUUCACAAUUUAUCUAGUACGUAAUUUUUUUUUAAAAAAAAAUUCCUCAUCUAUCAAAUGAUUUAAAAAACAAAAGAAAAGAAAAGCAAAAGGCUUUUGAUUACUAGUACAAAUUUUGCAAGAGUUUUUCUUAAAAUCGAUAGAACAUUCUCUCUCUCUCUCUUUUUUUUUUUUUUUAUAAUAAGGGAACCUGCAACUGAUAUCCAAAAUUGUGCACUGGACAAACUCCACUCCGUGCAAUAACUUGCCAAUUACACGAAGGAGAAAGAUGCACUAAACAAAUCCUGUAAGAGUUUCAGACGGAUGUCUAAAAUCCCUGUUAGCAAGAAGGCAUGACGCAAACUCUACCAUUUCGACCAACUCAAGGGACAUUUUUUUUUUAAACUUCAUUCUUGAAUUUUAAUUGCAUUCAUUAAGUCAAAUUUUAACUUCUUGUAAUUGCUAGACCUGGGAUUGAUUUCGAAAGUUUGGAACAUGAUACAGAGAAGUAUGUGCAUGAAUUCGUAUGGACAUUUGACUCUUAGUUAUCAUGCAUAAUAAAAUGAUCAGUGUGGUUCAUAGUAUGCAUGAAUUGUGCUUCUGCUUACUUGUUAUUAGCACUAACAGAAUCAUGUGAAAUGUGAACUUAUGACAUGAGAAAAAAUUUCAUACUGCAACCAUAUCCGAUUCCAACAGACAAAUGUUAUUGCGUCGAUUGCAGAUUUACCGCACUGCAAGGUAAGGCAAAUAAGGUGAUUCACAGAAUCAUGGGGAACAAUACAAGAACAAGCAACAAAUUAGCAGUGUAUUCCUGUCUAUAGCAAAGCUCUCGUUUGGAUUGCUAUUUUCUAGAGUUUUUAUAUGAAAAUAUAUUGCAGCGAUUUAAUAUCUAUAAGGUAAAAAGUUAGCUAAAAAUAUACUCGGAAAAACGAAAAAAUCUUUUGAUAGAAAACUACAAUCCAAAGUGAUACAACCUAGUAGCUCUAUGCAUGCGAAGAAAACAAUGAACACAGUUCAGCUGAUAUUAUGCCUUUUCUCGCGUGAGGUUGCCCACUAACAUGAAUUUGCAAGCACAAUUCAUGCAUGAUAUUAAGCAUGAUAUGAAUAACUUCCGUUUUAGGGGUGCACCAGUUGAAUUUUUGAUCAUACAAACAAAACCAACCACAAGAACAAAGUUUCUUUUUUUUUUUUUUGGCUUUUGCAGCAUAUUAUAUCCAGGGUCACAGAAGUCGAAACGAAGGCUCAGUUACAUGUCUUCCCAAACGAAGGAACAUAAAACUAUAAUAGUUAGACUGAGCCAUGUCUUCUCAAAACAAGGAGUUUGUGAUGCGAUGAACAAAAGCACAGAUGAUGAAAGACUAGCUCUAAGUCUAACUAGGUGAAAAACUAACCACCUACACAGCUCUCAGAACCUAUAAACAAGAAAGAGAAAAGGGUUGCAGAUAAACUACUUUGAACGUACAAAGACAUCAGACGCGAGCGGAAAUUGGCAAGAAAAAUUCCGUCAUUCCUGUCAGCACCAUUUCCCCACUCUCCUCCCUUACAGUGAAUCUACAAUUUGCCAUUGCCACUUCCUGGACCUCCCAGUGAUAGAACAACCCCAUGAAGUUCACUCUUGAGGUUUGGCUCUGUAUUGGAGGAUGGAUGCGAUCUAACGGCCGAAAUUGGCCUUCUAACUUCGGCUAGUUGAAAUUCUGGAGCAUAUUGCUUUGUCGGCUGCUGAGAUUGCCUUAAUGCACCAAGACUUGAAUGACUUGCACUAGAAUUUACUUGGUUUCUGAGUGAUGAAGGCCUCUGACCAAGAUUUACCCCUCUUGGCACAAGAUAAGGUCCCUUUACCAUGAAAUGCAGGAUCACCUUAAGGUUCAGACACUUAUGAACAAGAACCGAAAGAGAGAGAGAGAGAGAGUUACCGAAGAAUUAAACUCCGGAAACUUACCGGGGCAAACAGGACGCCUCUGAAAGUCCUACCAUUAACCGUGGCAGUCAUCAGAUAACCAGAAUCAAAUUCACCAUCAACAUUGCCACGAACUUCAGCUCCAAUCUAGAGGGCAUUAUUUUGCCAGUGCAUAAGUUCAUGAACUAAAAGGUAUUCAAACAGUACCUAGACUAGUUUUUCUAAAAGCAGAUUACAAUGCACUUAACUCAACUGAGAGUAUGGAAGGAAAUAUGAAAUAAGAACCCAUGUAGAGAUUAAUCAGUAUAAUGAUACUCCAACUAUUGGAGAUCAUAACCUCAACAUACCAAGUUUUGAAACUGUCCUGGCUCCAGGGAUCUCUGCCCAUCUGCUGAAAAAUGCAACUCAUGUUUACGAAAAUUAACAGCUUGUAGAUUGUGCAGUUUCGACUGAUCUGGAUGCUCUCCAAAAACAUGCAACUCUUGUCUAGUCCGUGGGGUGAUGAUUCUGGGGUUUGGCUGGUUCAGAGGAACAUGAUUUGACUGCAAACUCGCUGGAGUUGCACGGUACUGCUUAAAUAUCGGAAGCACCUGAGGACUGACUUCUGUGCAUUUCUUGAUAGGAGUCUGUUCCUGAUCAGAUUGAGAAGGAGAUGAACUUUGGGAGAGUGAAAGUGAAUGCUCUUCAGCAUCUGACGCGAUACCAUACAUCUUUAAGUUGUUUGUCCUCCUUUUUUUCAUUUGAAAAGCAUCUUAAACAAAGGAUAAAAGUUUCUGUUAGGCAUGCUUUUACAAUAUCCUCGCAUGUUGAGCUAAAUAAUAUUCCCACAACAAGCCAACCUGUAUCCAUGCAGAAAGACUUCUUUGGCAAUGGUUUCAAUUCUUCGGCAUCCUUUAUGAACAAAGUUUCACUGGUGGCCAUCAGCACUGUUCUUUUCUGCUGACAAAUAAUAGAAAUCUAUUAUUCAGCAGCGAUUACAUAAGAAAAUUGGAAAUGGAGUAAAAAGUAUUGAUUUUGUAGCUGUCCCCUACCAAACCAUUCUCUGCUUCUCUGAGAAACCUCUUACGUUCUUGAUUACAUUGGUUGCCAGAAGUUUUAUAGAACGGCAUCUUAUACAGUCCAUUAGCAUAGUCUACUCCAAGCUGCAGGAUGAGUAGCUCAUUGAGCGGAUGCUCAUCCUCACCACAACUGCAGGAUUGAAUCAAAUGCAUAUCAGUAACACAUUAUAAGCAUUCACAAUUGGGAGAAGGACUUGCACAUGAUUUUUUUUUUAAAUCUAUAGCAUCACCCUCCAAAAACUGUUACUGUGUCCAAAUUGGUCACAACAGCUGUAUGGGAAAAUCUUCCUCGUGGUUUUUGGCCACAUAUGUCCAGUUGACUCCAUGAGCAGGAAACUAUAUCAAGAAUCCAGACAUCAUUGUAGUACUGCUUGUGCGCUACCCCGCCAAUCACAUACACCUGAAAAGCAGAAGACGAUCACCACCAGUUUUUUGUUUGGAAUGGUGAUUCAGCUAGCUUAAAGAAAAAAUGCUUGCACUGCAUUCCAGUUUCCAUAGAAACAACAACAUUUACUAGUAAACCAUCGGAUAAUGAAUUGUUUUCCUCUUCAGAUACCACUAUUUAUUUCAAGAUCAAUUAAAGGACUUGCCUUUGUUUCUAUAUUUACAGAAGAAUGACCUGCUCGAGCACCAGGUGAAGACCCCUGAGUAUCCAUCUGGUAUAGCCACGAACAAAACCAUUAGCUUAUAUUCAAAUGUGAUGCAAGCUUUUCAAUUUCAUUAGCGUUCAGCUUGACUUCAAGCUAACAAUAGAGCAAGUAAAAUGAAGAAGGAUAGAAUCUGUACCCUUGACCAAGUUAAUGUAUCCAUAUCAAGCACAUCGACAUCACCUUGGUAUCGAUCACCAGAGUCUCCACCAUACAAGAUAAGCCUGUUACUGAUGGCAACAGCACUGUGACUAUCCCUAGGGACAGGAACAUUUCCCUUUACCUCUGGGGAAGCCCACCUCAUAGUUUUAAGAUCUAGAACAUGCAAGUCAUUCAAAUAGUUUGCUUCCCCCUCUCCACUUCCCCCAAAUAUCAGCAAUUUUUCAUCACCAACAAGUGUAGCUGUAUGGCUUUCACGUGGGGAAGGCGGAGUUCCUUUGCAUUCAGGAUAUGUCCACUCUUUAGACCUGAGAUCUAGUACAUACAGAUCAUUAACUUUUUUUGAACCAUUUGUACCCCCAAAGACAAUCAUCUUGUACCCAACUAUUACAGCACUGUGGCUGUCUCUUGGUCCCGGGCCCUGUCCCUUGGUCACCAGAGUGCUCCAAUCCAUUGUCUCCAGAUUUAGUACAAGAACAUCACUAAAAUGCAUCCCGCCACAACAUCCCUGAGAUGAGGGAAAUUAGAAUAUUUAGAAUGCAGCACAAUCAGGAAGAUGUUUGCUCAUGCAUCCUUUGAAAUAGAACAGUCCCUAGACUAAUUUGAAGAUAACAUGUCUCAAUUAGCUGGACUUAGCAAGUACAGCAAACUACUUAAGAAAUGGACUAAUCCCAUAGGCCAACUAUGGUUACUAGUUUGACUUUCAAAUCCCUUUUUGCUGACAGCAUAAUUAGUAAAAUAACACCACCUUACAAGAAAAUGAAAGUAGGCAUCCUGAUCUAACUUUCUUUAUUCCAAAAGAACAUAAUUCUUUUGAAGUGUGGAAGAAAGAAAUGGUCAUUCUUUCAGAAGCAUAAUUGUGCAUUGGGUGAGAACGCCACAAAGUAACAAGGAUAAACGAAUACCAGAUUUAUGAUAAAAAAAGAGGUAAAGAACAUACGAUCGUUGAAGAUAACAAAUGAUCAAGAAGAUAAUUAUAAAGGAGGAAAGAAAAAGCUAGAAAUAGAGCAAAAGAAAUCAGCAUAACUCCUCCUAAUCAGGGUUGAAGAUGUUAUUGAGUCAAAGCUGGAAAGAAAGUAGCGAUCGUUGAAUGCUACGUUAACAAUAAAUAAAUACAAUAAAUAAAUAGGCACGUAUUACGUGGAUACAACAAAACCGCACAUUGAUAGAAGACCAGAUUAGUUGAACUGAAUUCGUAUUGCCUCAGAUUGAAGAGAAUGUAGGCACAAAACCAAUCAUGAGAAUUCAAAUUGAAGAGAUUGCCUCAGGAUGGCUGGACUAAUUUCGAAGAAAAAACGAAAUUAAAAUGCAAGAGCAAAAGGAACACAUGCCAUAAACGAUAGUUCAACUUGAAGAGAGCCUAACACGUUACUUUCAGCUUUCAAGUCAUACAAGGAGCUGAAUUUGAAGCUCCACCAAAUGCAGACUACAGUAUACCAAACAAAGAUGAUAAAAGAGGAAAGUAUAAAACCGUUGGAGAAAGUGCAUCCACUGCUUACCCCAAGAAAACCCAAGUCCCAAAAGAGAAAAGGGACAGCUAGAACAAACUUGAACCAGGAAAAAAGAAAAAAACCUUGAAACAAACAACAAAUAGAAAACACUGCUUAAUUUAGCAUGGCAAACAUUGUCAGAAUGAUUCAAGAAGCAUAAAAAGCAAACCAAGUACAUAUUUCUACCAGAAAUCACAGAGCCAAGCAUACAUGAACAAAGAAAUGAGCACCAAAUAUAGCAUAACCAUCACAGAGAAAUCAGAAAGUAAUGUGGUUUGCUAGUAGUAAACAUCAUACGUACCCCAAAGAUGUAGACUAAACCAUUGGAAUAGCAAGCAGAAUGCCCCCAUCUUUCAGAAGGACUGACACCAAUAACCUUUGGAGAUAACCACAUUGCCUUCUUCCUUGCAAUUUCACCUCCUAGAGACCCCAUAUUCUCUUUUCCUCACUUUGAUCAGAUUAGUUCAAGAAAACUGAAAGCCAGAACAGCACAUGGGUUGGGUUGACAAGAUGAAGAUACAAAUAAGUAGUAAGAACUAGAAACAAAAAAAGAAAAAGAGAAAUAAAAUGCCACUAAUAAAGAGUCAAAAGAGGACAUGAACAAGCCAAGUGACAUAUCAACUAUCAGUGUCAAUAGACAUGAAAAGAUGGGCGCUUUCAAGUCCAAAUCACUGUGGCACCAAUAAAAAACACAAGGACCUCGGGUGACCAGGACACAUGCAUUUACACUUUCUCUUAUCAUCACCUGCUCAGAAUUACAUCAAUCUUCUUUUCUUUCUUACUGUUGAUUGAGUAGUAAUCAAUAGGCGAAUGAAUGCAUGUACUACUACUAUUGGAAUCAGUUUCAAAACAAUGCUGAUAAAGUAAAGCAAGUGUUCCGAGGGAGUAAAAGAGAGAGUAAAUGUGAUGGGCUGAUGAUCCUUAUCUUUUGCUUUGUAGCUAGUUUGUCAAGUCUAUUGUUUGUUUAUUAAUAUCUCUACUUUACCAACUUUGUCUAACUGAAAAUGAUGAAAGUUUGGGAGCAUUGGGUUGUGGGAAAUGACGGGAAGGUAUUAUCCCUUACCAGUUAUGUUUGAGUUUUUUGCCACCAUCGGUCUACCACUCGAACACACAUGACAAACAUGUAGGUGUCUAUAUUCUAUACACAGACUUAGUCUCCAGACCACUCGUGAUUACAAUUGCAUAACCUCCAUCAGAUGCACUUUAUUAAGGUUCAGAUAAAGAAGUUUUAGAAUCUGCAAGUGCAUGGUUAUAGUUUAGUAAUAGUAUAGUAUAAUGGAGUCAUAGACUUUUCCGAUUUUAUCUUUCUUUGUUUUCAAACUAUUGCUUUUUAAUAGUCGUAAAGCAUGUGUUUUUGGAUAGAAAAUUAUUUGAAAUAAAUAAAUAAAUACAUAAUGUAUAUAUAUAAACACUUUUUGUGAUAUAAUAUGUAUGCAAUAUCAAAGUGCUUGAGAAUAUGAAAGGUAAUUACAAAACAUAUCUAUAAUGCUAGUUUUUUUAAUUUCAAGAAAUAGACUGUCCAAGCAAACCUAAUAACUUCAAGAAUUUUUCUUUUGACAAAUUUUUAACAAUUUUUUCAUAAUUGGGUAGGCCAAUAUGUUUCGAUUGUCAUGUUUUCCUAAAAAAAAUUUUAUGUUUCCAUAAACUCAUUUCUUGAUCAUUGGAAGCCAAGUUUUUUGCCAAGUUUGUCUGCUACAAGUUUUUUAAAAACUUUAAUUACAAUAAUCUCAAAAAACUUUUCAAAGUUUUUAAACUAUACAUUUCAAAAUAUUAAAAAAAAAAAUACACUUCAAAAAUUUUUUUAAAAACUUCUACGGUAAGUUACAGUAAAGUUUUAAACAAACAUCCAAAAAACUCAUUUUCCAAACAGGAUUUUUAUUUCACAUACAUCAAAUUAUUAUAUUAUAUUUUUUAUAAAAAUUUUAGAAAAUAGCAAUCCAAACGGCCUAGUCAACAUUUAUAUUCAAAAAAGAAUUGAAAACUUUUUUUUCAUGAAAUAAACUGUCCAAACAAACCUAACUUCAAGAACUUUUCUUUUGACAAUUUUUUCAUAAUUGGGUUCCCAAAAAAAUUUUAUGUUUUCUGUAAAUCUAUUUCUUGAUCAUCAUUUUAUCUCAAGUACAUCAAAUUACAAUAUUAUUUUUUUAUAUAAAAAUUUUAAAAAAAUAGCAAUUUAAACGGACUUAGUCAACAUUUAUAUUCCAAAAAAGAAUUACAAAUCACCUUCCAUACGGAACAGAAACUAGGGGAAAAUAAAUUGCCUUCACUCCAUGGUACUUAUGAUUCUUAGUUACAAGAUUUUAGGUUGUGUUUGGAUUGCAUUUUCCGUGAUUUUUCAUGGAAAAAUUACUGUAGUUAUUUGAUGUAUGUGAGGGAAAAAAGGUAAUAGGGAAAUGUGAUCACGAAAAACGAUGUAAUUUUUUGACGGAAAUCGGCAAUCCAAACCACUUCUUCAUUUCUCCUUUCAAUGUGAGGUAAUCUAGGGAUUGAUGGAUGGAAGUUUAUGCAUCCAUCCAACUCAAAUUUCUAGGUGGUCUAGAGAUGUGCAUUUCGAAAUAUGUCUAUUCUCAAGGUCUUUGGUGGGACUAUGUGCUUUGUGCAAUAAUCAAAAUUCAUUCGAGUUUUGGGAACUCAAAUACUACUACUGUUUCAGCUUCUUUUUUAAAAUGAACUGCCGCUUUCUUCAAAAAGCUUGGAAGUUUUCCUCCACGAAUCCUUGCAUCUUUGCUGGGUGACGAGGUUUUCCUCGACCAUCUUCCUUUUCUAUGUUCGUUGGUGAAGAACCAAGCCAUGGAAAUGUUUAGAGCGGGGGGGUUAAUAACACGUUGCUCCCCUGAGAAUAGGGGUAAAGACACUUUGCCCCCUCAAUAGAAAUAGUACGCACUUUAUCACUUGAAAUAUUUUAUUUGAUAUUUGUGGCAAGUGUUGUGUUUGGACUGCUUAACUAUUAUUGAUAAAUAACGUAUUCCUGAAAUAUGUUAUUAUUGAUAAAUAACGUACCCUUAUGCGGUUGAUAAAUAAUAGUAAUUUAUAAAGGACAUUUAUUAAUGCAAAUUUACUGCUUAAAUAUGUUGCUAAUUUUACCCUUGUGAUGUUGAUAAAUAACGUAUUUUUAUGAUGUUAAUAAAUAGUAAUAAUUUAUAAAUAAUAUUUAUUGAGGAAUAGAAGCCACAUCUAGUAUCAAAUGUUUUCAUUAGAAAUAACACACAUUUAGAGGUGCUCAAAUUUCAAAUUUCAGGAAAAUUUUGAAAAACCAGUCAAACGAAAUUUGAUAAAAACCAAUUGAUAUACAAACUUUAAAAUUUGGCAAAACAAUUUGGAAAUAGCUAUUCAAAUUUGAUUACUGAAUUCCCGAUUAAAUUUUGGUAAAAUAAUUUGAAAAUAUAUAUUAAAAAUUGAGUAUCGAAUUCGUAACUACUGACUGAAUUAUCGAAUUUUAUAUGAAUAUAUACUAUAUAUAUUACCUACUAAUAUAUAUCAUAGACUAAUCUAAUAUGUAAGAUGUUAUAAAUAAUAACUAAUGCUUCCAUAGGAUUAAUCUUAUUAAAGACAAAAUUGCUAAUAUUUUUAAGCAUUUUAUUUUUCUACUUUUUCAAAUGGAAUACUUAACACACACACUAAAGAGAAUAUUUUCAAGUGAAUAAAGUGCCUAUUGUUUUCAUUGAGGGGCUUAAUGUGUUGUUACCUCCUACUUUCAGAGAGGGCAAAGUGUUAUUCAAUCCAAUGUUUAGCCAACUAAACUUUGUAAGGAAAAUUUUACCAUGUCAAUAAUACAUCGGUUCGGCUGCACCACAUUUUGAGGCUACAUAAAUAGGCCCCUGGAUUUAGAGGUUAUUAUUUUCUAGUCCUCUAGAUUCAUUUCUGGACCUUGUGUUUUGGUCCUUCACAUAUUCAAACGAUUUAUUCAGGUACUCUCAUUUCGAGCCAUAUUCUGGGCGGGUAAAUUUAAUAUGCUCAUUAAAUGAUGAGAAAUUCAACAAAUAUUUACACACCUUUUUCAUGUCCAAACAAUCAGCAUUUGUAAAAUUACGUGUUAAUUCCUAUUUUGUAAGCAUAUUACUCCCUCGGUUCCUAUUUAAAUGAUUUGAAUAAUUCAAUCUUUUAGAUUAAGAAAGUUAGUUUCUAAAAUUCAAUAAAAAUUUUACUUGACUUUCCAAAACUAUCCUUUAUAUCUUUCAACUACUUUUAUGUUUAAUGCUACAAACACUGCAUUUAAUUUCUCAUAAUCCCAACUCAAGAAAGUUGAGAGUAUAAAUAAGGGUAAAUUUGACAAAAAAAAAACUUCAUAAAUGCUUUCUUGAUAUAGUAAAAGGACAGAUAAACUAGAACACUGGAUUGGGAUCAUUUAAAUAGGAAUGGAGGAUGUAACUAAUUGCUACUUUUCUCAAAUAUCUUUUUUGGGUUUUGGGAGUAUUUAAUACAAUUUCCAAUCACACAAUUAUCUUUGAAAAAAAAAUGUUAAAUUGUUACUCUGUCACAAAAAUCUCCCAAAAAAUGCAAUUUAAACAGGAAAGUUUUCGAUAACAAAGUGCUUGCAUUAUCCAAUUAAUACAUGCACUUUGAUGAUGACAAUAAAAUAGCUUUGUUAAUAUAUAGAGAAGUGACAAUUAGCAUGUGAUUGACACAUAAUUAGAAUAUGGGCUAGAACAAUCUUUAUGCCCAUUCUAUUCAUAAAAUUACGAAUGACUUUUAAAUAUACUAUCAGUGUAUAAUUUUUUUUUAUAGUAGCACGUUUAGAUCAUAUCAUAUAACAUGAAUUUUAGUUUGAAAUUCACAUAAUACACAUGUGAUAUAUAUUCAAAACUAUUAAUGUAAAAAAAUCACUAUACUGUCUGUGUAUAAAAAUUUAAUCAUUAAAUUACCAGUAUUGCAAGGGUAGCAUGUGAUAGUUUUAGGGCAAAAUAAGGUUGAGAAUGAGUGUCAUGACAAAAUUAAGAGCCCGUUUGAAUUGUGAGUUUUAUAAGAAAAGUUUUUAAUAUUUUUUUAACAUUUAUCUUAUAUACAUUAUAUUGUGACACCGUAUUCUUCUGCCAAAAUUUUCAAAAACUCCAAUUCAAACGACUUAUAAUCCUUUGAAAUGUGUGGGUGACGAUAAUGAAUCAUUUUAAAUGUAAAAACUAGAAAGAAAAUAUCCUCAAAAUUGAAGCAAAUAUUUGCAGGAAUUUCUCCGGCCGAAAGAAUGAGUGAAAUAGAAAUUGAGACUACUUGCUAAUAGAUAGGCGACAAAAACAGGAGGGAGAGUGGAGGGAUAGGAGGGAGCAUAAGGAUGGCGGUAGUAGUGCAUUUUAUUGCUUUGAUUCACGUGAAUGUGACUGACGACUGACUGCCUUCCUUUGUAACUUGAAAUUUUUGCUCUCUCUUCUUUUCUUUUCUUUUGUUUGACAGACAAGAAAUGAAAUGAUAGGAAACCGAAAGAAAAGAAAAUUUUGAAAGACAUCUAUCUAAUCAAAGAGGGAUACCAUCAAAUAGAUUGAUGGGCAUGGCCUAGGCUAGCUUGCAUAAUCAUAGUAGGAGUCCUUCCACGUACUACUGCAGCCACUGACUAGGAUUAAGUUUGUGGCUCAUAUUACGGAUUAAAGCUUAUAUCUUAAAAAUCUACUGAAAAUCAUGGUCCGUCUAAAUAACAGGUACAAAUAUUAAAAUCUAUACAAUUAAAAUUAAGAGAAUGGGCGUUAUUUAAUUUAAUUUGUAUCUAUCGUAUGAAUCAUAUGUCGUUUAGGUAGGGCUUUUCUAUGUAUUGUGCACACAACAUACACUAAAGAAUUUUUCUUGUACUUUGAAAUCAGCCAAGGCUAUUAAUAAUGUCACAGUUUCGAACAUGAUUGAAUUGCAUUUUGUAGUAGUACUAUAGUAAUUUUUUGAGAUAUGAUGUUUGUGAGGUAAAAUAGUGAUUCAAAAAUACGUUAAGAGAAUAUUUCUCAAACCCUUCAAAAAAAAAAAGUUGCAAUCCAAACAAAGCGACUUGAAAUGACAAAAAAAAGUUUAUUUGACCAAAAAAAUGUAUGGGAAUUAAAACUAUCCAAACUUUGUUCAUGUGAAUUACAUUUGGAUUGCAGUUUAGUUGUAAUUUUUUAUUUUACAUGUAUCAUCAAUACAUUUUUAAUCACUUUUUUAUCUUACAUUUAUCACAUCAAAAAGUGUUACAGUAAUAUUUGUUCAAAAAAUUAUUCCAAAUAAUAUACUAUUUAAACACUUUAACCAAAACACGUAUGCAGAACUAAAUAGGUGCUAUGAAAAUGACAUUUGCUAUCAGCCAAGAUUUUAUUUAAUAGCGUGGUAUAGAUAAGCCUGUAAAAGUGAUUUGAUUGCAUUACAAAAUUAUUUAAUUACAUUAUAAACAUGCUUUUCAACAACUUUUUUAUUUUUAUAAUUAUUUUUUUAUCUCACAUAUAUCACAUCAUUAAAAAAAUGCUGCAGUAUAUUUUCAAAAAAAAAAAUCCAAAUAAUCUCGUAUACAAACACUACUUCAAUGGUAUCUGUCUAUAUAAGAUUAUUGGCGCUAAAAGGUCUAUAUAUGAGUGUUCAGGACUUGUACCACUGACUACUAGGUCCUAAGCCAUCAAAAUGACACGAAAACCACUAUGCAAUAGCAGUUCCGUACUGCAGCAUAAUAGUAAUGUUGUUGUUGUAUUGUUCAAUGGAAGCAUCGAUACGAAAUUUGAAGCGUGUGUUGGGUCAUAGAUGACUAGGUUGGGAGCAGUGACAUUUGGUAAAUUUCUGGCUUUCUUUCUUGGAAUCUUUGCUCAGGCACACAACAGCGUGACGGGUACGUGUAGUUGGCUUCUCUGUUCAAAAUCCCACAGGAGGAAGGAAUACUUAAACAUUUCAGUUUACAAGAAAUUGCACGAUUAACCACCAUUCUCUUCGCAAAACUAGGUAAUCUUGGGCUUCUGCAACAGCUUAGUCAAGAUUGAGGAGCCUUGCAAUAACGGCCAGCUCUGUAUUUGUCGUCCUAUAAGAGUUCCUGAGUCUGUUUUGUCUACUUUCUUCAUCUCUUGUAGCAUAAGGAAAAACACAUAAUCGUCAAGUAACACAUGGAAUCCUUGCAAUAAUGGCCAGCUCUGUUUUCUACCCCCAUGGAAUCCUCGAAAUCGUCAAGUAACACGUAUCCUUCUGCCAAGUAACAUUAAUGAACUGAAAUCUGAGAUGGGCUUUGACAAGAUAACGACUUUGAAUGCACAAUACUCGGUGAUUUUGAGCUAAUCAUAUAUACCAAAACAGGUUCCCCCCCCACUCCCCGGUAUAUUUUGUGGAUGCGUCUAAACAACAUGAAGUUUGCGAAUAAAUGAUAAGUAACGAAGAUUCGCCUUUUACAGCUAUUCUUUGGGACAGGGUUAAUCAGUUGGAGGAUUUGAGAGGCGAUAGUUUUCACUGCGACGGAUCAAGAUAUUUUAAAUCUUGAAAUGAAAAUUCCCAUAAAUGUUGGUUGAUCGUAUAUUUCGUUACAGUUCUAUGAUUUAAUUAUUAUAUAAAAUAGGUUGGUACAAUAAAAAGUGGGAAUAUGUGGUUUAGAGCAAUGCCUAUUGUGCCCUCUUCAAAUUCAACUAAUUCGCCCAAUGAAAAUUGUAUCUUACCACAAAUUAAAAUUAUAAUUAUUGCCGAACCCAACGCCUAUAUUGCAUUUGCAGCCAUAAGAAUAUCAAGAAGUCUUGGACCUCUGGACCCGCAAGAACCGAAGAAAUUUGUUGAGUGCAUAACUGGACAUAGAAGCCAGCAAAAGCCGGAGUAUGCUCUACGUCUUUCCUGUUAUGCUAUUUCAACUAUUCAUUGCUUGUAUGCAUAAAGUCUCAAAGAGCCAAAAAGCUUAAAGGAAACACCGUAACAUUAGGGCUUCACUUUUUCCAGCACUUCUAUUGCCAGACGUGAUGUAACUAUUUCAAUGAGAAUUUCCGUAUUGUGUUAUAGGACAACUUUAUGCACUACUUGAGUUGUUCUUCUAACUUUUGUGGACUGCUUUAAUAUUCUUUUUAUUUUAGAGAGGCGUAUGGAUCCAUCUUUUAUUCAUUGUAUGGUUUUUUAGGUUAAAGAAAACAAAAUCUUCAGCAUGCGUGACAUAUAUGCUGCUGGAAUUAUUAUUAUGAUUAUUUUUUAUCUCGUUUACAGGUGCAGUUCUUUGACCGUAAUAGAAAUGAGUGCAUGCAAUAGCAAUACACCUCAUGCAGACGCAGGAGGACCCAUGCAAAAACGCAGUCAAUACUUCUCGUGGAAACAUGUGCAGGUUACAACUACUGUUAAAUCAUGUGGCAGAAUGUGAAGAUGAUAAAAUACUGGUCCUUAUAACAAACAUGGACCGUCACAGGAAGUGCUGUGCCAACUGCCAGCUAAGGUUGUAGUAGUCGCAGUUUUGUUUCAGCACCAGUGAUCCGUACUGAAUUGGGCCGAACUGGAUUUGGCUAGUUUCAAUUUAAUACUAACAGAUUUGACAAAACCCUAUUGACGUUCAUCAUGUUUUGCAGCAGUGAUUUGAAACCCUCUUCUCUUCUCCUCCACAGCUUCAAGGCCUCUAGUUCUAGCUUGAAUAAUGCUACUGUCUAUCUAGGAUCGACCAUUAGAAAGAAUCUUGGUAUAGUUGCAUGCACUGCUGCUUACAUCUUCCCUGACGAAAUGCACAGUGGCAUGCAAAGUUUGAUUUGAGAUCGAUUUUCCAUCUCAGGGCUUUGCAAAAUUUACCGUGAGGCCGACAGCUUGAUGGCUUCAUCAUGCAUGCUCCAUUCAUUAAUCCCCUGGCUCUUUUUAGCGAGUUGUUUCCAGAGACUUGAUGAUAAUUGCACUUACUUGCACAUCAACAUGAAGAACGAACGUCUUUUUGUGAAAAAUUUCUUGUCUGCUGAUCUCUUGCUGUUCUAAAAUGAUCCUUGGUGACAUCUGAAGCGAAGCUUGUAUUGGGAACUGACAAUAGAUCAAUAUUUACUGCAGUAAGCUCCUCACACGGAGAGGACUCGCAAAGUUGCAGGCUUUUCAGGGAUUAUAAAGUAUUGCAGGUGCACGUCUAGGAAUGGGAGGAAAAGCAUUCAAGAACCAUUGCCACAAAUAUUUUCGUUUCUGGAAAUGAACCAAAACAUCACCCCCAUUUCAAAAAUCAUCAGCCUCGGCAAUAGAAAGGGGAUGAUGACAGAAAGAAUAUGUUUGGCCAUGAAUAUUGAGAGAGACUUUCUGAAUGCAGGGCUUCUAGGUUUAUAGCUAGCUUGCUGUACGAGGGAAUGCUUAGGAUCUUUUCUUUGGUUCUCUAUUUUGGGUCAAUCAACAGGUAUUACAGAAGAUUUCAUCUGUUUCAUCUUGACAUGGAUUGCGGAGAGACAAGGUGAACCAAAUUAGCAUAUUACUCUUAUGUCACACAUAACAAUUAAUGUUAUACAACUUCUGGCAAUUACAUUCUCUAGUUAGUGGAUGGAGGAUCCUCCAUUCUAAAACAAGUUAUAACACCAACUCCACUUGAUUUUAUCUUUCAGAAUUAUUUUGAACAAGCUUCCAGCAAGAAAGUCAUCCAAAGGGCAGACACAACUUUAAUUAUUAGUUCAAAAGCAUGUCCCUGCCUGACGUAGGAACAAGCUGAUUUCACAAGAUACCUUAGCACGAGUAGCUAGGCCACUCCUACUUCAAAAAGCUUCCUUACCAACCUCUCUUGAUAACCUCAAUUGGGUUUCUCACACCAAUAAUAGCCAACUAUAAAACUAUUAAAUGUAAUUUAACUUCAAAAUUCAAAAGCAUAGCUUAAGAAGUAAACAACCAAUCUCCAACUGAGCUGGAAAAGUUGCAUCAAGAGUGCAAAAAUGUUGCUGAACUGUAAAACGUACCAUCACACAUGCACUCAUUUCACAAGUCGCCAUAUACGAGCACACAUGGCACAAAGUUAAACAGCAGAGUUAUAUAUGGAGUUUAAUGCAACCACAGAUUGCCUACACUAAUUUUUCCUUAAAUGCAAUUUCAUAAAUUCUGAUAUUUCUGUUCAAAAGGAAGUCCUGUAAGCAUUAAGAAACAACAAAAUACCCAUAGAAACAUAGCAUGAGGAGAUAAUGCUCACUUAUUAUCAUCUAGAAUCACAUGCAGUGGAUGUUACAGGAAUCAAGAGCAAGAAUUAGUUAUCACAAGUGUCAAUGAAACACUAUCUGACAAAUGAAUAUUUACAAAGUAUUAGGUCUAUGUACAACUCAAGUCAUCUUUGUUUGAAAUCCAUUUUUCUUCUUGAUAUGGGGGAAAGGAGGUAUGGAUGGUUGAAUGUCAGAGUUGACAUCACAAGUAUACAGUACAAAAAUUUAUCAUCAACUCUACAUGAACAGUAUACUAUUUUACCAAAACUGCCAAGUUCUUUGGGAAGGUAUACCUUGUGCAUGCCUCAAUAAAGAUUCCAUCCCCCAAAAUAGGGUAUAUAAGGUUGGAUUUCAGUCAACUUGUUCCUAUUGUAUUGUACCUGUUGAAUAUGGAAAAAAACUACAAGUUACAAAAUGAUGACAUUGCAAGUAAUCCAAUCCUCAACUGUUCUUUUUUUUUUUUUUUGUGGUGGUGGUGGUUGGGGGGGGGGGGAGAGGGUUGGCACAAACACACAGGAUUUGCACUAGUAAUAUGGUAAGACAAGUUUUCUAGUGGUGAUGUGUCAAGCAGCAGUAGAGCUACAUAUGUUUCAGGUUGGCCAGCUGCUAUACUCGAACUCAGGAGAGUUCUAAACUGGCCUAAAAGAAAUGAAGCUUUUUUCUAAACGUUAUCCUCAACUUUGAAUUCUCUACUACUCUCACAUUGUCCAAAACACGAUGCCCCAGUAGACUCGGCUUUCAUGCAAUAAAACUAAAAAAUUUGACUGUAAAUCAACCUCUAGUAAGAGGCUUAACGUACAAAUUUACAGUAAAUGUAUGCCAAGGAAAUAAACAGAAAUCAUACUCUACUCCUAUGUCAUGUAACCUUAAAACCUCUUUUCAAUGCUUGUUUCAACUUCUAAAAAGUGAUGGUCCUUAUCAGCAACUAGUGUAUUAUACGCAGAAGUUAGGAUUGUUUAAAUAAAAAGUGCAGACUUCACGCAGAUUAUCAAGUAUGAACAAUAAAAAGGAUUAAGAAAUUAAAGAAAAUAAAAACAUGCUACUAGAUCAUUAUGGCAAUUUGUUGGUACUUACAUGUCAAAACUUUAGGUCAUAUGAGAGAAGGCUCCUUUGCGUAUCAGUAGGAUUUACCAACCAUUUACAAAACAACCAUGCGGCCCCGACCACUGAUAGAAAUGAAAGUGUUGCUAGGAACCCAAAAUGUGAAGCAUCAUUUGCAAUUAUAGCUACCCCUAACAUUACAGACUCUGCCAAACUUGCAACAGAAACCUCUGUCGUCCCAAUAAGAUUUGCUUUGGAUUCUGGAAUUCCAGUUUGCAGAAUUUGUUGGCCAACAAUAUCAUAUGACAUAUGCCCCAAUCUUGAAAGUAUCUGUACAGUGAAUGUGCAUAGUUAACCAAAAUGUUGAAGAAACAUUGAGUGAUGACAAGAAUAUGUCUAUAAUAAAGUUUUCAAUUGUUCCACAACAUUUUGAAGAACAAAGACUUCUAGAUCACAAAAGAUAUAAAAGGACAAUUAAGGACAUUUUCUCAUGAAGAACUUGCAAUUAGAAACAUGUGACAUAAUAAAAUAAAUCAACUUACAAUCAUAAAUAAGAAGAAAAGAAGUGGUGUCUGCUGAGAAAUAGAUCCAGUCCAAUAAGCAGCAAUAGCUAUGGUAAGAAGACAAGCUUGAAAAAUCAGUCCAGCAGCUCCAGCCUGGUUAAAGGUCAUGAGACUUAGGCCUAGAAUUUGAAGAAUAUAUUUAGAAUGAAUAAAAGCAUUGCAUCUCUUAAAAAAGAAACCUUCAAAAUGCCCAAUCGCUUGACCAGGCUUGCUGAAACAAAAGUUGCUGCUACCCCCAUAAAAGCACAUAACCCACUGAAGCCUCCAAUAAUAGAUGGAUUUAAACCUGAGACAAUUUCAAGAACACCCAGAUCUUAAUUUGCACAAAACCAGCCUAGAGGUUGAACAAGAAAAGGACACAGCAUUGUGAUAGAGACACAAAAAGCUACUCAUAUGUGAUUUUUUAAGCUAUCCUCUAGCUGCGCCCCACAAGCCAUGACAACUCCAAGAUUGAAGUCCAAAAAAUACCUUGCUGAGUUAAGAAUGCUGUCAUUAAUUCACUGGGAGCAAGAACACCAUUGAAGCAGAGUAGCACAUAUGCUAGGCUAGCUGGAAGAACAGGUUGCUUCAAGUAUUCAACCAAUCCAUGCUUGAUAGCUUGCAAACUCUUGUACACUGAUAACAGGAAAGAUUAGAUUCAGCGCACCUUAGCAAGACUUGGUACACAAAUAACAGGUCCCUACUCUCCAAACAGUGGAUAACAAUAUUGUUCACCUAUAUUCUCAUCAUCUGUCAAAGAUUCAAUACUAGAAUUUCGGCCACAACUUGGAGGUUUAGGGCGUUCAAGAACACCAGCAGAUAGCUUGUUGGUUAACCAUGUGAGGAACACCUAAAUUGGACAGGAAAAAUAUCAAUAGAAUGGCACAAGGCACAGCAGAGAGCAUACAUAAUAGAGCCAAGUAAAUUGCUACCGUAAUUGGCAGAGCAGAUAUAAUCAAACCAGCAGCAAGCUUUAAGCAGGCAACCAGAGGAUAUUUAGACAGAAGAAUACCAAAUACUGAAGCUCCUGCAAUCUGCAAAAAUGUAAGACCGAAUAGUUUAUCAGACACCUGUUCUCUUAAACAUUCAAAUCAUCACUAACUAAAUCAACUGCUGAUCCAAAUAAUAUGAUUUAGGGGGCACUCAUUCAACUCGAGGACUAGUAUAUCUUUUCUUAGAUGUAGCAGAAAUUAAUGCUAAAUUGACAGUUAUAUGCACCAGAACCCCAAAAAAGAAGCAACAAAGAAGAGUAAUGACUAGAUCAAAGGAAAGGGUAAAAGAAGGCUUUCCAGAACGAACUGAGAAUGUAUUACAACAAUCACCUCGCAAAGGAGAUCAAUUCGGCUAAUGAUAGCAUUAGCUUGCGCAAGAGCAAUUGGCCGAUUAGUUCCUGCUAACUAAAAAAAUAAAAAUGCUAAUCAAUACACCACUCAAACACUUUACUGGAGUUGAAAAGGUGUAUUCACCAUGCAAGAAGACAGCAAGAGGGAGUUGAAUUAGCAGUACCAGAACAACCCAGUCACGCUCCAUUGCAACUCCCAAGGCCAAUCCAGAUAAUCUCUCUGCUGCCCCAGCCGUGACAAGUAUAACAAACCAAGGCCGGAGAAGAAUAGAUGAUGUUGAUGUGGGACAAAUAGUGUGAGCAAAAAUAAUCAUUCCUAUAGACAACAACUGAGCAGCUGCCUGACAGAAACGAAGUAUUAGGAAAGGGAAGAUCAGAAAAGGUUUUUCAUCCCAACUUAUUACGGAAAGUAAACAAAAAGUACCUGAGCAAUUGUCAAAUAGUUAUAUGCAGGUAUUCUGGGAAAAUGAUCCAUGAGCUUUCCAACUAACGGACCUCCAACAAUCACUGCAAGCUGUUGAACAUGGAACAUGUAAAAAAUGAUGUACCCUUUUCUUUUAUAUAGUUUUGCUCUUUUCUCUCAUUGUUUUCUUACUGUAAACACAGAUUAUAAAUACCUUACUGAAAAAACCAAUCACAGCAACAGGAAGAAGACUUGGAUGGAGCAAAGCAAUGGAAGCAGGCCAGGCAAAACUCCAGAGCUGUUCCACCACAUUCCCAGCCAAGCAAUUAGCAUACAGAGCUGGUAUGAUUUCACAGUCAGUCACAAGCUCAACUGAUGUACCAAUAUAGGUAAUUUAAUGAAAGUAAGCAUUUUAAUUGAACAUAUCUUUCCAUCUUACCACCUAGACAAUGCACAUAAAUGAGCAUAAAAAAUUUAAAAUCUAAUUAGUUUUCCAUCAGAGAGCAUCCUGAAAUAAAAUGAGAUUUUUCCAGCAAAAGCAUAGUCCGUUCUCUGAUUUUGAUUUUCUUCACUUAAAAGUAGAGCAAAGUUUCUGCAUUCCCAGAAAGUUGACUUGCUUAUUUUAAGCUUAUAGUGCCAUCAGUCAUUAGCACGAACCCAGCCUAGAAUUCUCAAUCAUAACUUAUAACGAACUAACCAUACAAUCCUGCGGGAUGAGCUGGAGUUGCAGCUAUGAUAUUCUGCUCUUCCUCUGACAAAACCUAUGAAGUGAAAAAGAGGAGGCAAGUUAAGCACACAAAACACCAAAAAGAAAAAGAGCUUGAAGCAACAAUUUGCAUGGUAAGAGGAUGCUUGACGAGAUCACAAUAUAAAGAAAUCUUUAAAUGGAACACAUACAGGCAAUGCUGUCAAAAGCGUGUCUACAAAAGUGCCCUCAGCCAAUAAAUUGAGUGCUUCAGUCUCCAAGACAUCAGAUUUGAGAUGGACAAUUUGAACAGAACAGUUUGACUCAGAAGCUGUGAGAUCUUCUGAAAUUUCUUCCUCAGCGGCAAGCUGAUUAAAAACAUCAGUUUCUGUUGCUGAACACUUUGGAUGAAAAUGCUCAAGCCUGCAGUAAAUCAAUAUAUAGCACAUGGUCAACAAUGAUUCAUCCCGGGUUAUGAAUUCAAUUAGCUUGAAAUUACAAUUCCCAGGUUAAAUAUGAGCAUUCAAGUAACUGAGGCCAUUUUGUGGCAAUCUCCUGUGCAAUCAGUGCUUUGCAAACAUUCACCCCAAGGUGAAGAAUCAAGUUAUUCAUUUCACAAAUGUACUGAUUUACCUUAAGAAUGGACCAGUCACUAAUUUAUUAUCUGCAACCUAUUUCAGACAAAAAAAUUUGAGAAGAAAUCUUCCUCGUCCAUGAAAUCCAUUGGAAGACCUAUCAUAAUCUUACUUCUGAAAAUGCUGAAAGACAGAACAAGUGUACGAAAAACCAGAGGAGGUUCUGACUUGAAGGUGAACUAUAACUACUGCUGCCUAGUCCCUUAUGCUAUCGUCCAGCAUGCCUGAGACAUGCCUCACUAUAUUGUGAACCAAAAGCUUAGUACAAAAUGCAAUGCACAAGGCUUCCCCCAAUAAAGUCCUAAAACCCAAAACCCCAAGUUCGUUUAAAAGGUGUCUGGGCAAUGAAGUAAAAUCCUGUUUGAAUCCCUUAUAUUUGAACUCUUUGGACUCAAAUCUCAAGGUUAUUAUACAAACUGCCAUUAACCAUUUUUUUUGUUAGAGAUUAAGCCUUAAACGUAGCAUCAGCCAUGGCAUAAUUUUGAAGCUUUCCUUUACAUAGAAAAGCAAUUCUUUUGGGACUCAUUACACUCCCAAGUCCCAAUCAUCUACUCAUAACUUGUGCAAAAGUCAUUCUUUCCCCUCCUACCAACUCUUGACUAUGCACUGAUUUAUUAGCAUCUGAAAUUUGGUACCUUUUCGCUUAAAACAGAAAAAAAAAAAAGAACCUUUCACAUAUUUCGUCUACCAUUUGCACCAAAAUGUUUCCAGAAUUAACCAAUUAUAAACACAAAAAGAGAAUAGUAUUACAAAAUCUAAGAUAAACCCAGAAAAAUACACACCUAGACGGGAUUAAUCUGGGGCAGUUCAACCAUCGACGAGAAGAGAAGCCAGGGCGUAUUCUAAGACAAGACGACUUCGGAUGAGGAGCUUGGCGAAUACUGAAGCUGAAAGUCGAACAUGAAAAAUGAGGCUGAGGAUUGGCAAUGACAACCACACCCAUGAUUGUUCCACUCUUUCUUGAUUCCUGAAGAUAGUCUGAGUCUCCAAGAACACUGCCUUGAAGCACCUCUGCUUUUGCUCUUGAUGACUACUCAUGCAGCCUUCUCAGCAGCUGAAUGUUUUAGUAUUAUCAAGGCUGCAAACAAUAAUCUUUUCUCGAGGAUUACAAUGUUGUUCGCCUUUUUUUAUUUUUUAUUGUUUAGGGGAAUGUUCUGUGUUUAGGGUUUUUGAGAGUUCUAAGAUUUCAAGAAUCUGGAGGGGUAAAAAAUUUUGAGGGCUGGCAUUUCUGAUUCCUCCUUAUCCUGCAAAAGGGGAAAAUUUUUGAUAGGAAGACACGAAGGUAAUGGACGGACAAUUCUAAAGUCCAACAACUGGAUUGUCUAAAGGCCGUUAAUUUACUGUUGACGUGUGUACAUAUCGGUCUCCAGAUUUCUGUCCGGCCAAGCUAUUUUCCUUUUUAAUUUUCAGUUGUACUUACUUCUAUUUCCUUCAUUUUUGUUCGAUGCUUUGAUCAGGCACAAAACUUGAUUUCCAAAACUGUUUGCUAUUUUGUAGUCAAUUUUGAACUCCUAUCAAAAAUUUUUUUAUAUUUUUAGUAAACACAUUUUUCAAUCUUUUUUUUAUCUUACAUAUAUCGAAUUGUUAUAAUGUACUUUUUUUUAUAAAGACUCUAAAAAAUAGCAAUCAAAACAGAGUGAAAAAUAGAUAGAAACACAUUUUACUAACGUAAUUGCACUAUCGUCGUACUCUAUAGUGCUACUAGUUACUUGAUUCUAUUGAUGUAAGACCUUAGUAAUAUUUUGAGCAAAUUGCGCGAAAUGUCACUAAACUAUUGCGAGGUGCCAGUUUUGGUCAUUAAACUUUUUUAAUUAGCAAAAAAUGUCACUGAACUAGUAAAUUUGUAUCAUUUUGAUCACUCCGUGAUCUUAUGCCGUUAGGAGAGAUGGAAAGUAACUUUUUGAGGGGCAAUUUUGUCUGCACAGUUUUUGUGGGAAAAAUUACGUCUGCUAAAUGAAGGGACAACAGUUCCAUCUCUUAAAAUCAAGAACAAAGAUGUGCUGCAAAUACAGCCACAACUAGAAAAUGUUUGAUAAAUUUGAGGCUUCUACUCCCGGCCAGGGCGAUGGAACUCUUCCAGUAAUGUUGGGUUCAUUCGAACAAGUUCCAAGAUUGAAAAGACCAAUGAAUCACAGACUAUACCAAGGCAGAGAAUGUUCUCAACAUUGUUGGAAUGAUAUGAGAAGACCAAUGAAUUCACUUCUCUCAUAAGACAUCUCUUCCCAUUCACCCGUCAAGUGAUGCUCCCAGCGCUACUGCAAAUAUCUCAUUCUGGAUUCCGAAAAGAGUUGCACCAUGGAAUCCCACAUCCCUUUGUAAAAAUCUAUGAUUGGUUGCCUAAAAUUCUCUAGCCUUUCUCGAUCUGCUACAGUGGAAGGCAAUCCAUCCUUAAGAAGAAGAGAAUAAAAACCCUGUCAACCUUGAUGAACAGAAUCGUCAAGACAUCGGGUCUGUUGCCUAAAAUUCUUCAAAAAAUCUCCAAAAAUGGAGGCUGCUGCAAUUGAGUCGAAGCUGGACAUUGCCUGAUCUAAUUCAGAAGAAGAGUAAAGCCUCCCCUUAUUUCCAUGAACAAAAUCUACAAGUCCUUUAAAAGAAUUCUCCAAUUUCCUUGCAGCCAGAAAUUUUUUUUCACUACUUCUAAUUCCCCCUUCAACUUGUCGAAAUGAUCCUACUCCGUGAAGACAUUACCCUCAAAAGCUUCAACCCUUCAUUUACCAGACGAAAGUUUUCCUACAAAAGCUGUGUAGACGAAAUUGUCCCUCAAAAAGUUACUUUCCGCCUCUCCUAAUGGCACAAGAUCACGGAGUGAUCAAAACGGUACAGAUUUUACUAGUUCAGUACAUUUUCGGCUAUGAAAAAAUUUUAGUGACCAAAACCGGCACCUCGCAAUAGUUUAGUGACAUUUCGCACUCUCAUAUUUUUCUUUGGAAGACCUAAAUGAACAUUUGAAAUCUAUAUUAAAAAAAAGCUCAAAACAAAUAAGAAAAAGUAUAGAUUGCUAAUGUUCGAUUGGGAGCAUUUUUUAAGAAAAAAAUCAUAUCAUCAUAAUCAAGUAAAUAAUCAUACUAUUGAUAUAUAUAUAUAUAUAUAUACGGUGAAAUUUUCCAUUAAUGAAGUACCUUUUUCUUUCCAUUUAAACCUAGAACACAAUAAGUAUAAUAAUAGGAGAUUUUUUAAUCCACAAAAGGGUAUUUUUUAAAAAGUGCCUAACCACUGAAAAUGUAUGUGAAAUUUGCACAAAUAAAAAGUCAUUCGAUUCUACCUACUAAGUAGAAUGUGGUGCCCCUCACGUUACGUAGAAUGCAGUGGCCAGUGGCGGAGCUAUGAAUUAACUUUGGGGGGGGGAGUCUAUAGCAAUGAAAGUAAAAUAUAUUUACAAAAAAAAUAAUGUGAACAUAUAUACCACAAGAUUAGAAACAACCUUAUAUAGAAUGAAAAUUACUUAUACGCUUCACAUAUAUAAAAAUAUCAUCAUAUUUACAAAUCUAUUUGACUGUGUGAGACAUAUGAAAUUGUGCACGACGACUUUUAAUUUUAUCAAAGUCAUCAAUGAUUGAAUUUAUAUCAAAAGUUCUAGCAAUUUCUUUCUCAAUAUACAUUAUCAUAGAGUUAGCAAGAAAGUCUUCCUCCAUCCUAGAACGCAAACAAGUCUUGAUGAUUUUCAUAGCAGAAAAUGCACGCUCUGUUGUAGUUGUUGAAACAGGAAGAGUCAAAAUAAGACGAAUCAAUCUAUCAAUAAGAGUAUAGCACAUUGACUUUCUUGUCUUUGCUAACACUUGGCACAACUCCUAAAGUGAUGACAAAUUUUGAAGCUGAGAAUUAUAGGAAAACUCAAUUUGGAAAAGUUCUAAUUGAGUUCUUAAGUGUAACUUCUCUUGAUCUGUGAAGUCACCUGAAUAAAACUUAUUUGCAAGUUGACAAAUUUGUUCAAUAUUGAAAGCCUGAAAAUUAUCUUUGGGGUGCAAUGCUGAACUAAGAAUAAGCAACUCUAUUACAUCUUUCUUAAACCUAUUCUUCAUUUCAAGUAUUUGAGAAUCAACCGUUGCCAAAAUACAUCAAUCCUGUAGUGAUGCUCCAUGUUAAUUGGAUCAUUUUGUUUUUGAAUUCUUCCUCGACCUGUUUUAUAAAUGACAUUCAUAUCAAGCAUCUCUAUAUUUCGUGCAUCACAAAAUGUCUUUACAUUGGUGAACAAUUCAUUCCAUCCAUUAUCUCUAUAACUUUGAAGUCGAUCCUUUGUUACUGAAACCAAUUUAAAGACAUUCAAAAUAUCUUGAGAUUUGCAUUGUAAAGCUUGAGAAAGUACUUGUGCAAAUCCUAAAAUGUCCCUCGUCAUAUGCAUAACAAGAACAAAAUCAAAGGAUGUCAUGAAGUCGUAAACUCUGUUAGUUUCACUUCUUUGAGUUGAUGUAUUUCCAUAAUUGAUAACAUCAAUUAGGACAGAGCAAAUGUCUUCAUAUUCUGUGAAUAAGUUACAGAUAGAACUAAAAUGAGACCCCCAUCUUGUAGUCCCUGGCCGUUUUAAGGUACCAAUCUGAUUCUGACCCCUACCAGUCUCAAGUUCAUCAAUAGCAAUCAAUUCAGCAAUUAUAGCAGCUCUCAGUUGGUCCUCACGUUUGCAAGAAGAUGAAAUUAAAUUUAUAAGAAGAGAUAAGUAUGUAAAGAAUUGUUCCACAGGAAUUACCUCUUGAGAUGUUGCUACCAAUGUUAAUUGCAGUUGAUGAGCAAAACAGUGAAUAUAAUAUGCAUAGGGGCAUUCCUGAAUAAAUAAUGCUUGCAGUCCAUUCCAUUCUCCACGCAUGUUACUAGCUCCAUUAUAUCCUUGGCCACGAAUGUUUGCACACUAAGAUUAUGGCGAGAAAGGACAUCACAUAUCUCCUUCUUCAAAGUCAAGGAAUUGGUUUCGUGCACAUGAACAAUGUCAAAAAAUCUCUCUCGAAUAUAGCCUUGCUUGUCCACAAAUCUAAGAACAAUAGCCAUUUGCUCUCUUUUUGAUCUAUCUUGAGCCUCAUCAACAAGUAUAGAAAAUUUUGAAUCACUAAUCUCCUCUCGAAUAUACUUUUGUAUCUUGCUCGACCAAAUGGACAACAUCUCCUUUUGGAUCGUAGGAGAAGUACAAGAUCCAUUUCGAGGAGCAUUAUCAAGGACCAUAGUAGCCACUUUUUCAUUAUAAGAAGACACAUGCUUGAUCAACUUAAUAAAAUUAUCUCGAUUGUUAGAAUCUAAACUUUCAUCAUGACCCCUAAAAGCCACCGCUUGAAAUGUACACCAUUUUGCAGCAUCUAUGGAAACUUGAAGUUGCAACCGAUUUUUUGCAACCUGCUCAGAAUUUUGCUUCUCAAUAAUUUUAUCAAGAUGUUGCAAUGAGUUUCCCAAAUCAUGAUAGCAUUGCAUUGCCACUUUGUGUGAUGAGUUAUGAUCUUUUCCAAUGUGAUUUAAAAAAGCACAAUUUUUUCAUCAUUUACCUUCUUCCAUGAUCUAAAUCCACUAGUUGUGAAGGCCAUUGAUCCAAAACGGUUUGUUGGCUUGGAAAAAAGUGAGCAAGGAAGACAAAAGACAGCAUUCUUUGUUGGAAAAAAUUCCAACCAAUCUGGAAACAAUUUAUACCAAGAGAAAAGGAAACAUCGGCCCUUCUUGUCAACAACCAUUGAUUCAAUCGGAAGCUCAGGUUGGUAUGGCCCAAACUUAAUAUAUGCUCUUCGUACCUCAUCCCUUUGAUGCUCUAGAUAUUCCCAAAUGGAUUUUCACUUUGCAGGAUCACGUUCUAUGGAUGAAAUAUCAAACUCUAAUGAUUCAGCUCUACAAAAUUUCUUUGUUUGAUGCUUAGGAGAAGAAUCACGAAGAGGGCAAGAAGUUUCACCGCUUCCACUUGGUUCUAGACGUAUUUUCUUGAAAAAAGAAUCAAUUGUCCUGUUAGCCAUUACCACUAUAUUUGCAACAAAACAAUAACCUGUAAUCGAAAUAAAAUUGAUUGAGAAAUACUGGUUAUAGCCUAUAGAGAUGGGAAUUUGACCAAUGCAAAAGACUGGUUUCCCUAAUUCCCUUACAAAUUUCGGCCAUUCAGCUUGACUGAAAAGCCCGGCCAUCACCCAAGGAAGCCAACAGGAUCCUCAAAAUAAAAUUAGUAUGAAAAUUAGAAAAGGAAACCAGUCUCAGAAUCAACUAAAAUAAAUGCUUAUCACCCGAAUUCAGAAGGCCAAGUACGAAAAACAAUACAAGUCCCUCUCGAGUAAUUCAUCAAACAACUGGCGGACGAACUGUUUACACCCACAUUUCACUAAAUAAAUGCAAUGUCAAACUAACCUGGUAAAUGGUAAUAGAUUGAAAUUUCAGAGCUUUUGGUACAUCCAGUUUCAAAGCCGCGCGUUUCAAUUUUUGCAGAAAAAUUCGUGUGAGAACUGAGGAGUUACAAUUCUCUACCAUAGAGCAUUAGCUUGUAUUUUGAAAUGAAAAAAAAAAAAAACUGCAGAUCGAAGAGGGAAUUGAAGUUGGGAGUUGAGAGUUGAGACUUUUCUGUAAGAAAAAAAUAAGAGGUGAAUUGGUGAAAAACGGCAAUUGUGAAGUUCAGAAAAUAAUAGGUAAGUUAUUUGGACUAAGUCUGUUAUUCUCCGUUAAGAAAAUAGUGGUAAUUCUCUGUUAUUUGGACCAAGUCCAAAUAACUUUCAAACAUUAUUGUUUGGGCUCUUGGGGGGCAAAGUGAAUUUUUUGAUCAAUUUUUGGGGGGGCAAAACAUAAUAAUAAAAAAAAUUUUACUUAGAAAUUUUUUUUUAACAAUUGGAGGGGGGCAACCCCCCUUCCCUCCGCCCCUGGCAGUGGCCUUAGUUGGUAAGAACCUCAUAAAAGGUUGUGUUUAGAUCUCACGAUCGAUGCUCUGAUUUCGUGGAUUAUGACACUCUUCAUGUUAUAUAGAAUGAAUCACUGUCGUUAGUUGGUGAGAACCUCUUUUUCCUAAAAUGUUGUGUUCGGAUCUCACUAAUGCUGCUUUCACUUGUGACAGUAAUUUGAAUCGAAAUCACAUAAAUAUUUUUCUUAAAAAAAAAAAGGUAGAAAAGGAAUCACGGCUAGCACUUUAACAGCCAUGACUACAACCAUUUCAAAGAAACUGCAUAAAAUCAUCCUAUAUCCCCAGUCAUAUCAACCCCCUACCAAAGGAACAUGAACAAGGAUCACACGCUAUGCAAGGAAUAUAAAGAUAUAAAAAUGAACUCAUUACAAGAAAAGAAAAAAAAAAAUCAAUGAUCCUAUUGUAAAUGCAGAAUGUUGCACCCAUAACAUAGCAGAUGGAGGGGUCACGGGUCUGGUUAUGAUCAAAUUGGAACCUAUUCUCAUUAAUUUUGCAACAAAAUUCUCCUAUUUAACAUGGAAGUUAUUGCAAACAGUAGAAGUCUACUGGUAAGUUAUGCUUUAAUGGCGAUGCAUUAGCCAGUGAUAAAUUAUACCCCUUCGAAGCUGAAUAAAGAAAAUACUUUUCCAACUGUAUAAUCCAAAAACAAAGAAAUGGCCAAGAACUCCGACGUAGGAAAAGAAUUUUUCCACAUUCUACCUGGCAUGUUUUUCAUGCAUGAACCAUUAAGUGGUGUCCACUUUCUCCAAGAAUGUGCUUAUACAUUAGUUUUCUGUCACGCAAUUCCUAGACAAAUUCAUCGAAAGAAACAAUACGCUGAGAUUCCACAGUAAUGUGUUGUAAACCUUGGAAGCCAAAAUCCCACAAAGAAUUGGCCUCCAUUCCACUACCAACGGUGGAUAUCUUGUCUACUGGGGACCAAUGUCUGAUGCAUGCACGCCACCUGUUCGAGCAUUUGCUGACAAAGAAUUAAAUUAUGAACAGUUUGUGGUAUUCUGGUGCCCACUUUCAGUACGAUGGUGGUUUUAAUUUCCCAAGGUUGAAGCAGCCAUCCACCCAACCGAACAGGAAAUGCGCUUUCAGCCCACAAUUGAUUAGGGGGUUGCGAGAAAAUGGGUAGAAAUAAGAGGAAUGCUUAUGCAAGGAUGAAGAAAAUCAAGGAAUGUGAUGAGCAUAAUCAGAAUCAGGAUCACUCAGCUCAACGUUCUGAUGAUAAAAAUGCUUGUGAGGAAGGGGUUUCGGAGAAGGCCAUCACUGAUCAGCAGAGUUUGGAAGAAAAGUCUGCUAUUGAUAAUUUCUAUGAAAAGCUUAUCAAGUUGAAUGAGUCCUCAGGGCUCAGUUUAGUGUAAGUCUCUUAUGUUCCAAUCUUUUAGUUUAACACUCUGUAGAAAUGAGUGUGUCCAUGCAUGCACGCCUCAGCAUGUAUAAAGACUAUAGAGCAACUUGCUAAGUUCCUGAAUUGUGGUUUUAAACUUAAAGAUGUUUUUUGUUCUAAGUUUUCCUUUGGAUUAUUAAAAUGCUGAAAAAACACAUAACUAGAUGUUCUCUGUUCUCCAGAAUAAAAUGAUCUCACCCACUACAAUGUAUGUUAAUUCAUGUAAUGAGUAAUGAUCUCUUAUUUUUAUCGAAAUAUACUUAUGUUUGAGCUCUGUUUUCUUAGAAUUAGAAGGUCUAACUCUAACAAUAUGUGUUGAAAAAUAAUUAUAACUUUCUUAUUGUACUUUGUACCUUUUUUCGUCAAGGAGAGGAAAAGCGAUUUUGAUCUUUAGCUUUUGAGUCUUACCAGAGACAAUCUAGUUGAAAGAGAAGAAUGAGAUUUAUAAAUUCCAGAAUGGAAACCGUCGACUUUGUUACAGAUUUUCAUUUGCAAAACAUCAAUGACUAUGUUUAGUAAUGAGGGCUCUGCCUGUUAUGUUUAGUUAGUUCGGGAAGUUUGCUGUGAUUCAAGUCAUUGUAAAGCAAUGCUCUACACUGGAAGAGAGAGAGCUCAUGUUGUGAUAAAUGACAAAAUGAGUCCUAACUAGAUUAUUUAAAUUUCAUUGGUUGUUAGAAUGAUCCUUUCUCGAGCUACUUCGAUGUGCAUACUUGGUUAGGGUUACGUUGGUUUGACUCAUUUUUCUUACCGAAAGUAAUUUGAUUGAAUAAAAAUGGCAGCUUUAACUUCCGGGAAGCAAAAAUGGACUUGCAUCUUGUUUUCAAGGAAGUGACCGAGAGAGGGGGAUCUUAUCAGGUAUAUCAUGGCUUUUCAAUUUGAAGUAACUUAUGACUUAUUCUUUCCAUAGCGCUAUCAAAGUCAUCACUAUCUUUUUAAUUCUCGAUGGGCACAUCUAUCCUUCACUCUUUCUCCAAUUCAAUCAUUUUUCACUUUAACAAACAGUUUUGCGCACACUCGUAGUUUGUAGUACAUGUGGGAGUCAAUCGGUAUACUUUUAUAGCUGAAUUUGAAAAUAAAAGUCGAUUCCUUUUCUGAAAGAAACUCGAGAGACAAAAGAAACUUUGGUUAAUUUUUCAACUAGAGGACUUCAGACAUUCUUAUUCACAGGCGAUUUUUCAACUAGGUUUUCUGUUUGUAUAAAGCAAUGGAUGCUAAUUGUGCAUUUAUGGCUUAGGGCUGAGUUGUUUCUCCAUAACAUCUCCCUGAUAUUUUUGGGUUUUUGCUGACAGUUCAAUAUAUAGUUAGCUUUACUUGAUACAUCUUUUUCAGUUUUGUGAAGGGGAUCAAACUUAUUAAAAGGAUUUUAAAGUUGAACACGUGUCAGAAUCAUUUUAGUCCCUGAUGUUUAUAUUACCAGGCUGUCUGUGUACCAUGGUAGUGUUUGGCCAUGAUUUUGUUUAUCUAGGGUUACCUUUAUUAAUUAAAUAAACAAUGUGAUUCGAAUAAUGAGCCUUAGAAAAAGAUGGAGACUACGAAAAAUAUAAUUUGACAAGAACAAGUAAUUCCUCCUACAAGAUAUAUAUGUCAGAAAGCCCCUUGCUGUAUAUAAACUGAAAUUCCAUCCCUAUAUUUUGUUGAUUAGGCAAUUGUUCCAUCUCUGGAAUUAUAUAAGCUUUCAAAUAAAUUUCAGGUUUCAAAAGAUGGGAAAUGGAAUGAAGUUGCAUCCGCAUUGAGUGUCAAAAAUCAUGCCCCCAUCUUACCAAGUCAAAUUCAAAAGGUUUAUGAAAAUCUCCUUUGCCAAUAUGAGCAAAUACACCACUACAGGACUCCUGCAAAAGUGUCAAAACUGACAGGUAAACAAGCUACUAAAAUUGCUUUAUUCGUUUAGUUUAGAGCCCUUCCGUCAUUAUGAGUUUGAUUGAGAAAUUUGUAUGUAUGGUUUCAACCAUGCAGCUGUAUGUUUUUCCUAUUUAUUUAGCUUUGGAGAUAAAAGAAUACUGUCUCCUUAUUUUUCUGAGCAGCAUAGGCAUAAUUUGCAGGUGGUGAUAGUUAUGAUUCCUUGCUCGGGAAGCGAAAAUCCUGUGAAUGCUGCUCUCAAGAUUAUGAAGCAGGAAAAAGGAAAUGCAUUCUUGAUAUUUAUCAAGGAUCAUCAGGUUCAUAACUUUAUCUUUCCUUAAAAGUUGAAAUCAUGCAUAGAUUAAAUAUACAUGAAACCUUUUGGAAAUGUUCUGGAGGUGCCAGAAGGGUAAAAGUAUCAAGUCAAUGUAGUGCUAUACAGUCUGAGCUAGCAGGGGUUGGAAUUUUUUUUUUUUUAACAUUUCUUCAUAGAGGUUUAAUCUAUUUUGAUUGAUGAGUCACUUAAGGGCUACUCAGAUUUCAUACAUUCAUGUUGCUACGAGUACUUAUCAGUAACUCAUUAGUGUGUCAGUGCAUUCGAUCCUUGAGUUGUGCCACAAUGACUUGGAUUUUGAAUUAAAUGCACAGUACAACAAGCCCUUGGAUCCCUGUUGGAUUGUGCCACAAGCACUUGAACUUUGAAUUAAUGCUUUGGUCUUAUAACUUGGAUUUUGGAUUUCUUCAAUUCGUGCUGAUUAUUUUAAGAUGCUGUUAUUCUCAGCUCUGAGAAAUCAGCAUGAAAACUUUGAUCUAUUACAUGGUGCACUAAAACUGGAAGAUUUUGUUAGUGACUUGAAUGUACCUAUCCUUUUUGUGGUAAUCAAUCUUGAAGUUCGAGCAGGGCCUGGAACACCAGAGCAGAAAACCACCUUCCAGACAUCUUUGGAUGAGGAAACAGUGAUGAGACAUAUUUGUGCUCCACAAAAAGCAAGAAAUUCAUAUCAGCUGUUUCUUAAGAUGGAAUGUCAGAGAUUAAGGAAGAUACACGGGGAAGCCUCUGGUAGCCGUAGCAUAAGAGAUAGGGCAAUUGACGCAUGGAAGCACCUUUCCGAAGAUGAUCGGCUGGUAUAGUUCCUUCGAUCUUUUCAUCAUUUUUUGUCGUAGCAGUAAGCUGUACAGAUUGAAAUAUGUUGAUAUGAUAUGUCUUCUGCUGCAUGCUGAAACCACAACUUCUUUAAUUUAGCUGUUAUUAGGGAAAACAGUACCGUUUGAGGCUAGAACCUUAACACCAAUACUAAAUGUGCCCUAUCAUUAGCUUUAACGUUGUUCAUGUGUGUUUGAUAUUUCCUGCAAUUUUCCUAGGCCUAUUUUUGCUUCUGUAGCUGCCGUUUUUUGAUUGCUGAAGUAUUCAUUGCACCUCUGCAAUGACAAGUUAUACAAUUAAUAUCAGAAUAUUUGGACCUCUUACAAAUUGAAUGAUGCUUACUUCUGAUGAUUUGUGCUCUUUCAUUUUGCAGCCAUAUAUUGAAGCAAGUAGGAAGGACAGAGAAAGAUUUUACAGGGAGAUGGCAGUUUACAUGCAAUAUAUUGACAAAAAGGUUCUGAAAUCCGAGAAUACGCUCAAGGAUUCAGCUUCAGCCCUAAUCAACUUUGGCCAGUCUUCACUAAUAAAUGAUGAUUAUUAUGUGACUUUGGAGGCUGAUGCUGAAAACUUUUGUCUUCCCGAUGAGUCAUUGGUUGAAUCAACCAUUCAAAUGUUGAAGACUCGACGACCCAGUGACCCCAUGUUUCAGAUGACUUGGGACGGGUUCCGUAGCCCUCCAGAUACACCCAGUUGAAAGGCUCACAGGAACCCAUAAAGGGCAGUUGCUUGGUAAUUUUGGCACGGAAGGUGCAUGGGUUAGGUUUCGUUAUAGGUGUCUUCAACUCUCAUUGUGGAUAUAAGAGAGUGGUCUAUGCGCUUGGGUCCGUGUUCUUAAUAUGACAUAUCAGUGGUUUAUGUUAUCCUCAACUUGUUUGUAACCUAGUAUUGGUGCCUUGACUCCCCAUUUUUGUCUGCAAAGUAUGGUAUCUGUCUAUAUGCACAGACUGUACAGCACCGUACAUGUAUAACUGGGGAGUGACUGAGUGCCAUUUCGGUGCUGUAGUGUUCUGUAGUUUGUACAUAUACUGCUAGCUGUGGCCUUCCACUUGAUGUAUAGUAAGCACAAUCUUUUCUAAAUUUAUCUUGCAGCCAUUUUUGUGAAAAAUCUGCUUGCAUUCCUCAAACUGGACCAUCUCUGUUGAGCUUGAAAAUCUUGAUAGUUGAUAUCAAACUAUACUAGUUGAAUAUCGCAAUGUAGAAAUCAAUUACUCCUCGAGUCGUAGUAGUUGGUCAUUAAGAGAGUUUUAAGGUUCUACUUGAAUUUUCUAGAAAAAUUUUGCCAGCGGGUGCAUAGGCACUCGUUUGGACCGGUGGUUCAAUCCCCUUAAGUUCUCCUUUGACUCCUUUGGAUUCUACUUAGUGAACUCCUUUGGAUUCUACUUAGUAUAGAGUAGGAGUAGGUUUAGAUUACUCACCAUUCACCGCGUGUCUGCUUACCACUAGGGAUUACCAAUUUUAUCCUUUGGGAGUUCCGGUUUUACACUUUUAGGUACUUGUCCAACUAUUCUCUUUGGCUUUUGGCUUUGGAUGCUAUUUUGUGCCAGUCUGCUAGAUAAAUACAUAAAUACCCCUUUCGGCACUCAAGAAGUAGUAGCCAUCAAACAAAAUGAAUUAUUAACACAUAUGUACUAAAUACGUAGAGGUGUGCCAAGAGAGCUGCUUUUUUUGUGAUGUGGCAAAAUAUUAUUGGACGAUUUAUGGUCGUCCUUGUACGUGAGGAUUGCCCCUGUUUGUGCAAACAAAAAUUCAGAAUGGAAAUGUUAUUACUCUAUUUUUCAAAUGAAUGCUGCAUGCCUUCACUUUCCUUGCACCCGAUUGGACCCCUUUAGCAGCAUUUCUGUUUCGGUGUGUUGGGACUUGAUUGUCAUCAUUGUAAUAACUGAGCUUACAUAUGUACUAAAUGCGUAGAGGUGUGCCAAGAGAGCUGCUUUUUUUUGUGAUGUGGCAAAAUAUUAUUGGACGAUUUAUGGUCGUCCUUGUACGUAAGAAUUGCCCCUGUUUGUGCAAACAAAAAUUCCGAAUGGAAAUGUUAUUACUCUAUUUUUCAAAUGAAUGCUGCAUGCCUUCACUUUCCUUGCACCUGAUUGGACCCCUUUAGCAGCAUUUCUGUUUCGGCUUUUCCCAAUGUGUUGAGACCAAGGUUUGUAAAAUCGGGAUCCUACGUAGGAUCGAUUUUAGUUUCACAGGAUCGGAUCGUAGGAUCGGAUCGUAGAAUCGUAAGAUCCUACCAAAAGCUCUUAAUUGCAAUUAAAGGUUGCAAUUCUUUGAUAAAUUACAAAUAUACCACAAAUAUUUUCAUUUAUUUGCAAAAUGGAGCUUCGUAUUUCACAAAUUUACAAAAAAUUGUAGGAUCGUACGAUCCUACGAUCCUAUACGAUCCUGAACGAUCCUGCACGAUCCUACACGAUCCUGCUACGAUUCUAUGCGAUCCUGCAAAAAAUUAAUAUGAUUUGCGACUCUGCAUACGAUCCGGAUCGAUUUUGGUUAUCCGGAUCGUAGGAUCGUACGAUCCUACGAUCCGGAUCGCGAUUUUGACAACUAUGGUUGAGACUUGAUUGUCAUCAUUGUAAUAACUAAGCUUAGUUGACUAUAAGGACAGUUAUAUUACAAUUUUGCCCUUCCAUUAUAAUUUUCUUACCGGCCAUAACAAGUUCAUUUUGUUCUUACCGUUUCCUUCUUCUUCUUCAUGUUCAUGUCAGGAGGUCAAUUCCUAUUUACCUUUGGGUUGUAUUUGUAAAAAACCAUAACUCUAAUCACUGUUGACGGCUAUUGGAAGGAGGAUUGUAGCAGUUUCUUUAUUCUGUCCAACCUACCGCUGUUUCUUUGCUCUGUCCAACCCACCGCUGCAGGUAGAGCUAUGCAUUGUUGCCGGCAUUUUCUUCUUGUGCUAAUGGUUAGUGAUGUCUUUAAUUUUUGCAUUUCUUUUUUGUAUCAUUGUUUAUAGCACAACAUCCUAUCUUCUCUUUUACAUGAUUGUCUUUGGCAGUUGCUUUGUUUGAUUCUCAUUUUCUUUUUUAUUGCUCUGUUCCUUUGAAGCUGCUUCUUCGUUUUGUUCUCUUUCAUAAAGAUUGGUCAGAUGAGCUAGCUGCCAACCGGCGUUUUAUCCAUCAGAAUAGACAGAACAAGGUGAACAUUUUUUUGCCCUUGGUAUUUCUUUCUUGUGCAAUUUUGCAGAUUUGAUAGGAACCUGAGCCACCUAGGUUCUUUUUUUCCCUCGGUUUAUUCAAAUAAUGAUGAUUGAUAGUUCAAAGAUGGAGUAUAUGGAUUUAAACAUAUGGUCUUUGGAUUAUUUGGUUUUAGAAACUGAUUUGGAAAUCCCUUCUUUUACCUGAAUUUUUCAUUACAAAGUACAACUUUGGAGCUAAUAGAACUAGGAAAAAAGAUGGAAUAGCGUAAGAAAAGAACUUGAGGAGGGGGAGGGUAUUGCAAUAUAGCAAGCUAUAUCUUUUGCUAGACCAUAUAGAGAACCCAAAUGAUGGUCCUGAUGCAGUCCUCAGAGGUAUUUUUAUCACUAGAAAGCAGUUUUAUGUGUGUCGUUUGCUGAUGGGCUUCCCAGUUUCCCUAACAUGUAUAUCUUGCUUUUGUUUUGGAAUCACAAUGUGCAGUAGGGAAAUGACAGGAAGUAUCAAACGAAAUUUGUUCACAAGUUGGUUCUUGAUAUCCUGUGAUCUAUCAUAAUGGCUAGAAGUUACUUUUGUAGUUUUAGUUUGCUUUUUUGUUCUUGAUAUGGAGUAUUCUGGCUUCAAAUAGUGGUGUUUUGCACGGCAUUCACCAGGUGUAUGUCUUCUCCUAUUUGGAUAAGUUGUUAUGCCAAUGCCUUUUAUUUGUCUUUCACCUUUUCCAGUUUGAUUUUUUUGGCCGUUCGGUAAAUAUUAGAACAUGGGGUAGUAUUAACUCGAUAGACCAAGUUUUCUAAUAGCAAUUCCCUUGGUUACAACUUUUUAUGUUGUCUCUAAUUAAAUCACCAGGGACUUGUGUUGCCACGACUCCUUGCUCUUUCUCUAGCCUUACUGUUUUAUUGUCUUCCUUAGUGUAUUCUACCUGAGUAUCUCUUCUACAAGCUAAGGUUACCUAUUGCAAGCUCUGACUUACUGGAUAGUGUUUGAUUCACCAGUAGAAUAAACUCUUUGAAGGAUAACUAGAUAAAUAACAGUCAACAAGUAAUGUCUGUAAUAGUUCCAUGGCCAUGAUGAAGCUGUUUGAUGCUAAUUGUCACCUACAAGAAAUUUCUUGUGUUAUUUGAUUCUUUGUUCUACCUUUCAAUUGUCCAUUAUUUAUUCUUAUUUGUGUUUUGCAUUUUUCUCCUAUUUCCUCUUUACAUUUUGCGUGCAGUUUUCUUCGUCCGUGGUUGCUGUAAAGAACUUUCUUUCUUCUUCAUCUUCUGUUAUAUAUCUGCAGCUUGAAUUGUUUCAGGUUAGCUGAUCUUUCUCUCUUUUUUUUUUAUAGAUUUUUGUUCUACCAAUUUUUUAUUUCUUCGAUAUUUACUAUUAAAUACUCUGCAACCUGUUUUUUUAAAAAUUUUGCUGUAGGUUACAUGUUUGUUCUUUUUUCCCCCUGUUUAGUUUUUGUUCUGGCAGUUUUUGUUUCUUCUUAAAGUCUUGCAAAAGGAUAUGAGUUUGUCCAAUAAUUGUUUGACAGAUCUUUCGUAUUUUGAUGUCAUUUAUUGAUUAGUUUUCAUAUACUCCUUUAUUUUCCUGUUGUAUUCAAUAGAUAUUAAUCUUUACAUCUGUUUCUACUGUAUAUCUAUUUCUUUCCUGGUUCUGUUAGUUGAAUUUUAUUGUUCGUUGUUGUGUUGGUUUUAGAUACUACUUUUCUCUCUUUUGUCUCAUUUUUCUUUUGCCUGUGCUUUUGUAAAUUAUUUUCUGUUCCUUGUUCCUUGGUUAAUUAAGUUAGAUGGAUAGAAGUGCAAUACGCCGAAAACGAUACGCAGAAAUGCCCCAAAACGAGAAGGCUGCGCUUUUACCUCGCCGAAGUGAAGCUAGGGCUGCAAAGAAAAGAAAGAAUCAUCACGUUCUUUUGUUCGUAGUGUUCCACUUGGUUAUGUUGAAAUAGGUGUAUUCUUCCCUAAUUCUUCUUCACGUGGAGAUAGUAACAUUCAGGAUAGUCGGAACAACGAUGUCACACUGAAUGAAAUGUUACAACAUAGGUCGAUUGGUUUUGCUAAUGAUCAGGAUGUUCUGAUUAAAGAGGGAUUGGACUACAUGACCAGUAGUGGAGCUGCUGUCACUAAUGUUUCUGGUCCUACUCCUCCUUCUGUUGUUCCCAUUGAAUCAAAUCCACUUUUUAUUAUUCCUGAAGGUAUAUCCAGCCUGAUUUUUCCCUACAGAUCAGCCAUGUCUUUGUCACUCUAUUGUUAUACCAGUAUCUUGCCUUAUUUUUAAUUAGGCAUCCUAUCCUGCUACAAAUCCAGCCUUUAAUUUAUAUACAUUACAGAAACUUCACUUAUCGGUGAGCUAGGGAGUGGAAAAGGUAGGAAAAAAACUAGUACGAUUAUGCAAAGAGAAGAACAAUGUGGAUCUUCUCAUGAUUAUCAUGCAGCACAGUCUUCUAGGAAAAGGUACAUGAAUACCGUAUUGACAAAACCAUCUCUUAUCUAAAAAAAAACACUGUUAUCCUUUCUGCUAAGAAUAAGCCAAAAUUUGAUCUUCAAACAUGUAUCAGCUCUGAAUCUUUAAGUCAUUCAUCAGUAAACUCUAUUCCUUCUUCUAUUACAUUGGAUCCUCAGCUAAGAAAUAUUACUGACAAGCAAAAAGAAGCAUGCUUUCCAAUUUCUAAUCUUUGGUCUACUGUUUAAUCUUCUAGGCAGCAACGCAAGAACACCUCGUCAAAAACAUUGACUCGGGGUCCUCAAAACAGUACAGUUCUGCCUAAUGAGAUUAACCAGAGGUUUAAUAGUCAGAAUCAGAAUUCAGAUAAUGCUUUUCAUCAUAUGAAUGAGCCAAAUUCAGAAAUCAAUAAUGUUAUCAACUACAAAUCUUUGGAUCACUUUUCAACAGACCAUGCAUCUUCUUCUACUCAAGUUGAUUCUGAAUCUAGAUGUCUCUCUAAAGGUAUAAUAUUGGUUCUUUAAAUUGUUAUCUUUGUCAAUAUCUUUUGCUAUUUCUUUGGUUUCUUCUGAUCACAGAAGAAAAAAAAAGAAAAUGCACUAUCCACCAUAUCUGUAAUAUAUCUAUACCAAGAUAUUCUGCAAUGGAGAUCUUAUUAAGAUUUACUAUUGUAGUUAUCCAGCCUUGCAAUGAAAAUUCAGCUUUGCAACAUCAAGCAAAGGCUGAUGUUGCCAACAGAAGAAAAAGACAUAGAAAUCGUUGUAAUCUUACCGCUACUAUUACUCCUCCCAGGCCAAAACGUAGCCAUCCUGUUCGUAACAAUGCCCGCGUACCAGUUUGCAUUUCAUUUAUUAGUGACCCUAAUACUGUCUAAGUCAUUUUUAUACUAUUUUCUCCCUCUUGCAAAACUGGACUUUGUUAUUCUAUCAACUAUAUUGAUCCAUCUACAGGGGCAAAAUGGUAGUGGUGCUAGGACAUAUCUUUCAAGAAUUGAUCAUAUUCCUGAUGCACCUUUACUCCUUCCUGAUGCUCCUAACUGUCAAUAUUGUGGGGCUAAGAGGUUUUAUUUAGAACUUCCUACAUUUUGUUGUUUCAAAGGAGAAAUCUCUAUUGUCGCUCCUCGCAUGCCUUAUGCUCUCAAGCGUCUUUUCACAGGAAAUGAUGAAGAGAGUGAGCAUUUUAGAAAAUUAGCUCGUACCUAUAAUAACAACUUGGCUUUCACAGCUUUUGCUGCAAAAUAUGAUUCCGAAUUAACAAAGAAUACGAAGGGUGUUUAUACUUUUCGUGUUCAAGGCCAAGUUUAUCAUUUUCUCAAUAGCUUAUCACAAUCAGGUGAUAGAUCUUCUGGAAUUCAGCUAUAUUUUUUUGAUACUGAUGAGGAGCUCAAAAGAAGAGUAGCUAGCUGUGACAAGUUGCGUGAGAGCACUUUAAGGUUGUUGAUGGAUAUUCUUUCUGACAAUCCUUAUGCUAGAUUUUUCAAAGAUCUCAGAGAUGUGCCAAAUAUUAACAACUUCAACAUUGCUCUUAGUUGCUACCCAACUCUAGACCAGCGUGUAUAUAAUCUUCCUUCUACUUCUCAAGUUGCUGCAAUAUGGACUGAAAGUAAUGACGAGUCUCUUGAUAAACAAGCACAUAUUCUGGUCUGUAGUCACUCAAAUACAAGUCAUAGGAUUCAGCACUACUACGGUUGUUAUGACCCUUUACAAUAUCCUUUAUUAUUUCCUCGGGGUGAAUCUGGAUGGCACCAUGGAAUUAAACGAGUCUAUAAGAGAAAAAGAGGUGAUGCUUUAUGUGAGGAUGAAGUUAAUAUUGAUCCAUUUUCUGUUGAACACUCCUCUGAUUUGAUUGAUCUGGAAAGAAGAGGCAAGUGCACAUGCUGUCUUCUCAAAUUUCUGAAUAUUAUUUAAAAUAAAUACAUUUCUUCAUUCAUAUAUUGUUUCUUUCCUUUUUAUAGCUGCUGACUGUGGCAAGAAAGAGGAAUAUACUGUCUCGACUAGAGAAUAUUAUUGUUAUAGAUUUCAAAUUAGAGAUAAUGAUGAAUCCAUGUUGCUGCAUACACUUAGAUUAUUACAGCAAUUUUCUGUUGAUGGGUAUGUAAAGAUUGAAACUUCUAGGUUGGAUUUUCAACGAAAAAGACAGAAUGAUAUUCGGACUGAAAUUCUUGAGGGAGUGAUGGAUAGUCUUUCGGUAGGCCAGACUGAAGGUUCAAAGGUUGGUCGUAAAGCGAUAUUACCAGCUUCAUUCAUAGGCGGACCACGAGAUAUGAGGCGUCGAUAUCUUGAUGCCAUGACCUUGGUUCAAAAGUAUGGAAAAUCUGAUAUUUUUCUUACAACGACAUGCAAUCCGAUGUGGAAAGAAAUUCAAGACAACCUGUAAUUUACAGAAAAACCUCAAGAUAGACCAGAUCUUUUAUCUAGAGUUUUCAAAGCAAAAUUUGAAAUGCUUAAAUAUGAACUUUUAGAUAAGAAAAUCUUUGGAGAGGUAGCUGCAUGUAUUUAUGUUAUUGAAUUUCAAAAAAGAGGAUUUCCUCAUGCUCAUUUAUUAUUAAUUUUGAAACCACUGUUCAAGUUGUUGAAUCCUCAAUCUUAUGAUAGGAUAGUAUCUGCCGAGCUCCCUAAUCCUCAUCAAUAUCCUCAUCUAUACUCUCUUGUUCUUAAACACAUGAUUCAUGGUCCAUGCGGAGUUAUGGAUCAAACUAGCCCAUGUAUGAGGAAUGGUUCAUGCAAGAAUCAUUAUCCAAAAAAUUUUUGCGAACAAACGGUCCAUGCUGAAGACAGUUAUCCAUGUUAUAGGAGAAGAGAUGAUGGUAAAAAGAUAAAGGUGCGUAGAUAUCAGCUUGACAAUAGAUGGGUUAUUCCAUAUUGUCCUUAUCUAUUGGCCCUUUUUGAUUGCCACAUGAAUGUAGAAGUUUGUUCUACUUUGAAGCUGGUGAAAUAUUUAUACAAAUAUAUCUUCAAAGGACAUGAUCUUGUUAGUUUUAAGAUUGAGACUGGAGGAAGCUCUGAUGAUGUCAAUGAAAUAAAAGAGUUCCAGCAGGGAAGAUGGAUUUCAACCCCUGAAGCAUUUUGGCGAAUCUAUGAAUUCCGAUUAAAUGAGAUGACCCCAACAGUUUAUUCUCUUCAAGUUCAUCUUCCUGGUCAGCAGCUUAUCAGUUUCAACAAAAAUUCAAAUCUUUUGGAAUUGAUGAGAAAGAUUGAUUUUUCGAAGACCAUGCUAACCGAGUUCUUUGAAAUGAACAAAGCAAACUCAAAAGCUGAAAAUUUGAAAUGCUUUUAUAGAGAAUUUCCUGAGCAUUUUGUUUGGUCCACUAAAUUUAAAAUUUGGACUGAUAGAAAAUGUAAAAAGGUUAUUGGAAAACUAGUAACUGUUAGUCCUAAGGAAGAAGAAAGGUAUUAUCUUAGACUGUUGCUAAAUCAUGUGCGAGCACCUACGUCAUUUGAUGACCUUUUAAUAGUUAAUGGUCAAAAAAUGAAUUGCUUCAGGGAAGCUGCUUUGAACCUUGGUCUAUUACAGUCUGAUACAUAUAUAGAAGAUACGCUUGAGGAAGCAGCAAUUUUUCAAAUGCCAUCAUCAUUGAGACUGUUAUUUGCUACUGUUCUUGUUCAUUGUUCACCCACUGAUCCAAAAUUACUCUGGGACAAAUUUGAACAACAGCUAUGUAGUGAUUAUCAAAGAUCACAAGAACUUUCUCACUAUUCUUCUGCUGAAAUCAGAAGUAAAGUUUUGAAAGAUAUUAGCAGAUUGCUUGAACAGAUGGGUAAAAAUAUUGAUGAUUACCAUUUAGUUCCAGAUAGUUUUAGAAGUGCAUAUCAUGAACAGUUAACAAAGGAAAUUGACAGUGAAAGGAAUAUUGAAGUAUUACCAGAAGAUCUGUUUUUGCCUUUUAAAUUGAAUGCUCAGCAACAGCAUGUUUACGAUUUAAUUCUGCAUGCAAUUUCUUCUUCUGUUGGCCAAAGUUUUUUUAUCGAUGGUCCGGAUGGAACUGGUAAAACCUUUCUCUAUAGGUCACUUUUAGCUACUUUAAGAUCUCAAAGACAUGUUGCUAUUGCAGUCGCAACAUCCGGUGUUGCAGUAUCUGUUCUUCCAGGUGGAAGAACAGCCCAUUCUAGAUUUAAAAUACCGCUGGAUUUGUCAACAAAUAAAACUUGCCAGCUCAGUAAGCAAGGUAGUGUUGCAAGACUACUUUUUGAAUCAAAACUGAUAUUGUGGGAUGAAGCAUCAAUGGCAAAAAAAGAAACUAUUGAAGCCUUUGAUCAUUUGCUUAAAGACAUAAUAGAAUCUGAGCUGCCAUUUGGAGGAAAGGUGAUAGUUUUUAGAGGAGAUUUUCGACAAACUUUACUUGUGAUUGAGCGAGCUUCAAAACAAACUCUCAUAGAAGCUAGCCUUCCUAAUUCACCUCUAUGGAAUAAAUUUCAUAUGUUGAAACUAAGCGGGCCAUUUUGGACCUAGUAUUCUCAGAGUUUCUUUUAAGGGUGGGUGAAGGAAGAGAGCCUGUUGAUGCACAGGGCCAAAUAAUCUUACCGAAUGACAUGGUCAUUCCAUAUUAUGAAAAAGAAGAAUCUCUAAACAGGUUAUAAAAUUGUUAUUCAGCUAUGCUUCUUUUUACUACUUCUUGUCUUUCUAAAUUUGCCCUUUAUAUGUAUCUUGAUUUACUUUUCUUAUAUCCAGGUUGAUAAAAUCUGUAUUUCCAGAUUUAUUGGCUUAUUCGAAUGAUCCUUAUACUAUGAUCAAUAGGUGCAUUCUUACUCCAAAAAAAAGUUCAGUUGAUGAGCUAAAUGAUAUCAUGAUAAAAAGGUUUCCCGGAAAUCCUCAUGUUUAUAUUAGCUCUGAUAAAACUGUUGAUCAGCGUCAUCAAGGAGAUUGUGAAGAUUUUCUCAAUUCACAAAAUCCAAAAGGUCUUCCUCCUCACAAGUUGUUGCUUAAAGAAAAUUGUCCUCUCAUUCUUUUGAGAAAUCUGAACCCUGUAGAAGGAUUAUGUAACGGUACACGUCUCAUCUGUAGAGAGCUCAGACAGCAUACAAUCUGUGCUGAAAUAGCUUUUGGCCAGCACCAAGGGAAAAGAAUCUUUUGCCUAAAAUUCCUCUUCAAACAUCUGAUAGUGAAAAGAACGGCCUUCCAUUUAUAAGAACACAAUUUCCUGUUCGGCUUUGCUUUGCCUUAACAAUUAACAAAUCUCAAAGACAAACUCUUGAUUAUGUGGGAAUUUACCUUCGUGAGUUGGUUUUCUCUCAUGGACAGUUGUACGUAGCCUUAUCUAGAGCUAAAACAUCGGCUGCAGUUAAAAUUCUCAUUGUGCCUGGAACUUUUGGAGACAUUAAAGUUGAUUGCAAGACUAGAAAUGUUGUAUUCCAAGAAAUAUUUCAGCUAACUCAGCACUGAUGUUAUUACGGUUUAGGUAUAUCAUACAGAUUUAUCCAUUCAUUAUUCUUUGACUAAUAUGGUACUUUAUGGCCAUAAUAACUUUCUUCUUUUUCAAGAAUGAUUGUUGUUGUAUAUAUGAAUCCUUCUGAUAUCUUUCUUCCUUUGUAUACAUGAAAAUGCAGAAUGGAAAAGUUGCUCACAAUAAAAGAAAUUAUGCCUGAAAUGCAAAGUUGGACAUGCAAAAUCACAGUUCAAGAAAAACAGCAAGUUACUCAAUCAAUGUCCACCCCAACAAAAAAGCAAAAGUUCAUAGUUAUUGACGCUGAGGUACACAAAUUGUUUCGCAGAAAAUAUUAUUGCCUAUUUGCCUUGGUUCUUGCAAAAGUAUAAACCAUGGACUGUGGUAUGUAAUUAAAUUCCUCUGUUCCAUUAUCAAAAGGUUAUAUAAGGAUACUAUUGUUUUCUGCAUUCCAGUUGUUUGUCUUACUGAUGCUAUUUGGAAGGUUAGUUUGUGGUAACUUAUGUUAUAAUACAACAGGGAUAAAAAAUUGAAGGCAUUAUUUUCAACAAUGACAUCCCUAGAAUGAGCUCAAUCCUUCAAGUUUAUAAGAAAUACAACAUAUCCAAUGCUGAAGUGAAGCCAAUCUUACCAAAAUAUCAGACUGCUGAAAUAACUCAUCAGUGGACAAUCACGAGCAAAACUGUUAUUGAAGAGGUUCUUGAUGAUGAAGAUAUAAUGCCUGUCAAGUUCAACUAUACAAAGUUUACAGAUUUGGCACAGUAUAUGGACUAUAAGACUAAAUCAGUUGGUAUAUCUCAUUACUUUAUCUAUAUAAAUAGUAUGCAUAUCUCUGCAUGAAAUAUUCAACAAAUUUUUCCUUUUUCCAGAUAUCCUUGGAAUAGUUAUUGAAGCAUUGGAGAAAAAGGCAAUUACUACACACUACAGAGAGUCUAUUGUUCAAAAGUUUGUGCUUGUGAAUGAAAAGUAAGAUGUCCAAUUCUCAUCUUAUAUAUAACGAUCAGUAGUUAUAAUUUCUCCUAUUACAUAUAUCUUAUUAAAUACUAAUUAUUUAUUUCAUAGUAGAUUGCAAACUGUUGUACUUUCUAUGUGGGAUGAUUUCAUCAAAAAUGAAGGAGAACAGAUAAUUUCUGCCAUGAACAACUAUCCUGUUAUUAUUGCCCGAAGGAUAAAAGUCAACAACUACAAUGGUAACUUACAAUUUAAUGCCUAACCAUUAUCUGAUACAUUUAUAUCCAUAUAUAAGUCUCUCUAACAAAUGAUCUUGAGUCAAUAAAUAUUCUCUAUAGGUGUUUCUUUGUCCACAUGGUUUGAUUCUGCAAUCCUCGUUGAUCCUCCUGUUCAAGAAGCAAGGAAACUAAAGAAUUGGUUUUGAUUUAUCUCUUCCCUUUCAUUAUCAUUCUUAGCAGUUCAUGAUUCAUGCAAUAUAAUUUAUUCUUUACUUCUUUAACCUUAUUUUAUUAUAGGGCAAUAAGAAAUAGCAAGGAGUUGACAGUUAUUCUGGAACAGAAAACUUAUACUAGAUACAAUCCAGAACUUUCAUUGAAACCAGAUCAAAAGACCACCUUAAUUUGCAAUGUUAAUCCUACCCACAAGGUAUAAACAUCUUCACUGAUAGUUUAUUUUACAGUACAUUUAUUUAUCAAACAACAUAUUCAUACUUUUUACUUCUGAAUUUAGAGUACAUGGGUCAAAGCACAGUUCAGUUUCCAGCACAUAUUUCAAAAAUACUGGUAUAUGAGCUGCAAAAAAUGUUAUUGAGGUACUGCAGCAGCACAUGAAGUCAUUUUUAGCUGUAAUAUUUGUAAAGAAAAACAUCCUGCUGAACCAAGGUUCAUUACUAAAACCAAUCUUUUUUUUUUCGAAAAAGCUUUAAAGUUUACUAUCAUCAUCACUUUUUACACAUGCUAAACUUUUAUUUACAAACAUUUUUGCAGGUGUCGCUUUGAUGUGGAUUUACGGGAUCAUACUGGAGUUAUCACAGUUUCUAUCUUUGGAGAACAAGCUGAACAACUGCUGACGUUCAAUGCUCUUGAAAUAAUGGAACACUUUAAGCAGGUUCAUGUUCAACUUAUUAUUCACUUAUCCUAAAUCACAAAUUGAAACCAUAUUCUCUGCUUUCUGAAAACUUUUUCUUAAAUGCUUUCUAAUUCACAGAACAUUGAGCUUCCACUUGAAAUCGUCCACAAAGAACUUGACUCAAAGUGGUUCUUGGUACACAUUAAGCCAGUACAAACUCAAGUUGCAGAUACAAAGCAGCGAUAUACAAUCAUUUAUUAUUCUGAGAUUGUCGAUGCUGCUACCCCAAUUUCUUUUGUCAAUGAAUCAAUCAUUCCCUUUCUAUCAGUUCAUAAUCAGGAUGGCCCUUCACAGACCACAACUUCAGGUAUAUAAAUAUACUUAUCACAGAUAAAUAAUCCUUUUUUCUUACUCCAAAUUAAUCCCAUUCUUCUCCAGGCACUUUAACUACUGAAGAAAACAAUCCAACUUCAAAGAUUCGUCUUUCACUAAAUCAAAAGUUUGAUCAGGCUGAAGAACCAGAAAAAAAUGCUUCUCAUCUUGAAGGAACUAGCUACAACAAGAAGCCAAAACUGAACUAAGUUCUCAUGUUCUAUAGUUUCUUUUGAAACUUAGGAUUGCUACUUUGAAACUAAAUUGCUGCUCUAUGCUUUUUGUUCAGCAAUUUAUGAUUUUAAGAAAUCAUGGUAUUGCUGUUGUGUUUUGUUUAGCAACUUAUGAUUUCCAGAAAUCAGAAAAUGACUGCUACUUAACUAUGUUGUUUCUUGUUUCAGAAUUACAUUUCUUUAAAUGUAGACAUACUACUUAUUUUGGAGCUUUGUUUUUCCCAUCUGUUAUAUGCAAUUGUGUGAUUCUUUUACUGGAGUUAACUUGUGUAAAAAAAUCACAGGAAAAAAGAUGGAAUAGCAUAAGAUAAGAACUUGAGGCGGGGAGGGUAUUACAAUAUAGCAACCUAUAUCUCUUGCUAAACUAUAUAUAGAACCCAAAUGAUGGUCCUGAUGCAAUCCUGCCAGACAUUUUUAUCACCAGAAAGCAGUUUUAUGUGUGUCAUUUGCUGAUAGGCUUCCUAGUUUCCCUAACAUGUAUAUCUUGCUUUAGUUUUGGAAUCACAAUGUGCAAUAGGGAAAUGACAGGAAGUAUCAAACGGAAUUUGUUCACAAGUUGGUUCUUGGUAUCCUGUGAUCUAUCAUAAUGGCUCGGUGUUACUUUUGUAGUUUUGUUUGCUUUUUUGUUCUUGUUAUGGAGUAUUUUGGCUUCAAAUAGUGGUGUUUUGCAGCGCAUUGACCAGGUGUAUACCUUCUCCUAUUUCGAUAAGUUCUUAUGCCAAUGCCAAUGCCUAUUUAGAACAUAGGGCAGUAAUAACCCGAUAGACCAACUUUUCUGAUAGCAAUUUCCUUGGUUGCAACUUUUUAUGUUGUCUCUAAUUAAAUCACCAGGGACUUGUGUUGUCACGACUUCUUGCUCUUUCUCUGGCUUUACUGUUUUAUUGUGCUCCUUAGUGUAUUCUGCCUAAGUAUCUCUUCUAGAAGUUAAGGUUACCUAUUACAAACUCUGACUUACUGGAUAGUGUUUGAUUCAGCAGUAGAAUAAACUCUUUGAAGGGUAACUAGCUAAAUAACAGUCGACAAGCAAUGUCUGUAAUAGUUCCAUGGCCAUGAUGAAGCUGUUUGAAACCUUUUUUUGGGCCAUUUACGAUUUCAAGAAAUCAUAGUAUUGCUGCUGUCUUUUCUUCAGUAACUUAUCAUUGCCAGAAUUAAUAGAAUAACCGCUGUUUAACUAUACUCUUCCUUGUUUCAAGAUUACAUAACAAUCUUUUCUUCUCCACGCAAAAUCCUUUAUUUGUCAAGUUAAAUGUUUUAUCUUAUCAAAAUUGUUUCCAUUUAUCUUUCUUCUUCAAUUUACCUUUCUUACACGUAUAAAAAUACAGAUUCACAUACCAAACCACGUGCUCAUUCCUGAAUCAUUCUCAUUUACAGCAACGUUAUCUCAUUUUUAUUAUUCUGACAACAUGCACCAACUACAUAUUCAACCACCUUCAUUAAUUUUUCCUGUUCUUAUUUCAACCAUAUUCAUUAAUUAUUCCUGUUCUUAUACAUUCAUUUCGUUAAAAUUUUUUUUUUUUUCUAAAUUUCUUCAUUCUCUAUGUAUACCUAUCUUUUCUAUCCUAGACUUCCUAACUCUACUCCUACCAUACAUUCAUAACUCCUUCAUAUUGAAAAUCUUUUAUCAUUUCUAAACUUUCAUCUUUCACUUGAAUUUUAAACCUUACUACCAACUACAACAAAUCCAUACCUGACUUUUCUUCAAAAUGGCAAAUACUAUUUCACAAAGAUGUUGCUUUCUCAUCCGAUGCAAAAAUAGAGGCCAGGUACAUUCCUUUUUGUUCAACAGCAUACGUUUCCAAAUUUUUCUCUAAUUUACAUUUCAUUUAAAAUAUUGUUAUCUUAAUAUCAUAUGCAGGUUUUACCUCCUUUAUUCAAAUCAUUACUGUCUCAACAUGGCCGUCACACAAUUACCUUCAUGCACGGAACAAAACAAUGGAAUAUUACAGUAAAUGCUGACUCGUUUGGAGCAGGAUGGGAUAAAUAUUGUGAAGAAAAUAUUACUAAUGAACAUCACAUACUAUUGCUUCGACAUAUUGGGAAUUUAUUUUUUGAUGUUAUUAAUUUUUGUGAAUUGCAACAACACGUUAAUCUCAGCUGGACAGUCCCUCUAACCAACCUUCAUCUUCAGCAAAAUUGUAUACAUUCAUAAUACAUCUUUAUCCUUUCUAUUUCAUAGUAAUGUUCCAAUCUUACAUUAUUUAUUCCAACAAAAAUAUUUCUUAUGUGCAGUUCAUGCUAAUCCGCCAAUUCAUGAAGAAAUAGUGACAUCUUCACUUCAACCUCAUUUUUCGCAAGAUUUAUCCACUUCAGUAUGCUUCUAUCAGAACUUUCACUCAGUCGACCCGUAUACAUUGGUAAAUAAUCCUUAUUAUAUUUUUCUUAAAUUAUUCCCUACCUAACUCAUUUCCUUCAACUUAGCUCACUAACUUUUACUUUUUGUAUCAGAAAAUCCCACGAUUUGUUGACUAUUUUCUCAAUGAACAAAAAACUUCACUUAUAGCUCUCAAAACUGGAGAUAACGUAACAGAAAUUGGAAUCAAAGGCAAGCAGCUCAAAAAAAAUUGGAAAGCUUUCAUUCUUCAACAUCAACUCCAGCACAAUGACGUCCUUAUUUUCGUUCCAGAAUCGAAGACUGUCUGUACUGUUUUAAUAUUUAACAGCAAUGGGGAUGAAAAAAUUUUCCCUUGAUACCCUGUAUUUCAUAUCCAUUAUUAUAAUUAGCCAAUUUAUUAUUAUAAUUAGUCAUUAACUUUUUGUAUCUGUAACAUUAUUCAUGAACUAUAUUAUCCUUAUUUAUUAAUACUCUGUGAUUGAUCAAUAAACAUGAUUUCAUAGCUAAAAAUACUAUAAAAAGAUAAAAAUCAAUUACAAAUUAAACUUUACAUCCAAUAACAAUUUCCUUUUAAUAAACAUUUACCUUCUUAUCCAUCUUAGUAAUAGUUCACCUACUUCAUAUAUAACUGUCAUUUAUUUUACCAAAAAAUUUUACAUUGUAAUAUGAUACCAUACAUUUCAAAAGCAAAAAAUUUUCCACAAUAUAUUUUACAAUUAUCCACCAUUUCAUAUCCAAUUUAUCAAAUCAUCACCUUCUACUUUAUAAAUAAAACUUUAGAUAUAAUUCCAUAUACAGUUUCAUAUAAUUCCAUUCUAACAUUUUCAGCUAUCACAUACACCACUCUCCUACAUUUACUCCUUUCUUGCUUUUACUUUUCGUUAUAUGAUUUCAGCCUAUUUCACUAAUCUAAACUGAACAACCUAUACAGUUUACAUGUUUCUUUUUAUUCUAACAUCACACCAACCCUCAAUGACCAAUACAAGACAGGGCAUAAUUGCAUUGAUCCACCGCGCUUAGCGCGGCCAUACCCACCUAGUAUACUCCUAUUGGCUUUUAAGUGACAAGGAUCACACACCGUUUGUACCCGUGUUCGGCAUGUCAAAUCAUGCAUACUGUACAUAGUAUCUUGAUAAAAAAACUGACACCGGUAAUAGAUCCACACCCCAUUCCCCUAUCUAUGUGCCAAGCCUUGGUGGCUUGAUUAAGGUAUGGAGGCUACAGAAUGUAUUGCUAGAUGUAGUAUAUGCUAGAAACUUCCGGAGCGUUCUAGGCUAUUCAAAAAUCUUGUAGAAUGGCUUAGAGUCUUGUAAAUAAGAGUGGACUUGUGUAGAUACUUCUAGAGUCUAUGUGUAAAGUACAUUUUAUGUAGAAUUCUCUAGGAAUGUUCUUGGUUAUUCAAGAGUCUUGUGGAAUGGUCUAGAAUCUUGUAGAUAAGAGUGGACUUGUAUAGAUCCUUCUAGAGUCCAAGUGUAAAGUACAUUUUGUGUAGAAUUCUCUAGAGUUGUGUAUAGUUUCUUGACUUGACCUAGAAUUCUCUAGAGUUGUGUAUAGUUUCUUGACUUGCCUAUAAAUAGGUCAAGUCCUUUUCAUUUGUGGUAACCUUUAUACAAGAGUUCUCAAGUGCAAUAAAGAAGUUUUCCUUUGCCUCCAAUACUUUCUCUUUUUGCUAUUACUUUUACGCUUCCGCACAACUUUUGCGCACUUGGUGUUUAGUUUGAAUUAGCCAACUGUUCAUAGCUCAAGUUUUGAAUGACAGCUAGUGUCGCACGGAGUGUUGUCUUGUAAGAAAACAAGCAGCCCGUGACAUAAGGAAUUAGCCAUCAAACAAAAUAAAUUAUUGUACAAAAAAAAUUUAUACGUUGCAUUUUUUUAAAAAAAAUUAUUGACUACCAGGCUUUUGCUUUCCAUAUGCUUUAGUAUUUACUGCAAUUUUGUACUUAGAUUGAGGCUGACAAAAAUCUUAAUAGUGUAAGUGUGUAUCAAUUGUGACUUUCAAAAUAUCAAUUUCAGUUAAAAUUAAGAGUUGUAUUGAGUGUGACUAUCAGGAAAUCAAAUUCAGUUUAAGUUAAUGUUUUGUACUAAAUUUGACGUUAAAGAAAUCAAAUUUAGUUAAAUUUGAAACUUUGUAUUAUAUGACUUAAAACACUCAAAUUUAGUCAUUUAAAUAAGUUUAUACUGGAUGAUACUUUCAAAAAAUUACAUAUAGUUAAAAUUAGGAGUUUCUACUAAAUGGGACUUUCAAAAAAUCAAAUUAGAUUAAAGUUGAUAUUUUGUACUAAAUGUGAGUUUAAAAAAUUAAAUCUAGUUAGACAUAAAAUAUUGUGUUGAAUUUGAAUUUCAAAUUAACAAAUUAAAUUAAGAAUUUGUAUUGAAUGUGAAUUUAAAAAAUUCAUAUUUAGAUAUAAUUUGGAGUUGGUAGCAAAUGUGAUUUUUCAAAAAUAAAAUUCAGUCAAAUAUAAAUUUUAUAAUAAAUGUGACUUUAAAAAAACUUAAAUUAGUUAAAUGUAAAAGUUUAUACUGAAUGUGACCGUCAAAUUAUCAAAUUCAAUUAAAAUUAAGAAUUCCCACUGACGUUCAAAAAAUCACAUUUCAUUAAAAUUGAAAGUUUGUAAUUAAUGUGACUUUCAAGUAAUCAAAUUCAAUUAAAUAUGAUAUUUUCCAUUAAUGUGACUUUUCUUGGCUGCUGCUCCAUCUCUGCCAAGUUUGUAAUUAAUGUGACUUUCAAGUAAUCAAAUUCAAUUAAAUAUGAUAUUUUCCAUUAAUGUAACGAAGAUUAGAUUGAGUUUUUUGCCAAGUUUGUCUGCUACAAGUUUUUUAAAAACUUUAGCUAUAGACUACAGUAACCUCAAAAAAUUUCUUAAAGUUUUUAAACUAUACACUUCAAAAUAUUCAAAAAUUUACACACUUCAAAAAAUUUUUUAAAAACUUCUACAGUAAGCUACAGUAAAAUUUUAGACAAACACCUAAAAAACUCACUUGCCAAACGGGGCCCAAAUUCAAUCAAAUUCAUAACCAAGUUGCUGCACUAGAAUUUCAUGAAAGGAUACUUCAAGGUAUAAGUUAACUUCCUUAGUUGGUCCAACCUCCCCCUUAACAUAACCAUUCAACUCCCUACUGCUAUCUAUCCUCCUAAAGGUGUUUAUUUUCCCAAUCAUAGAACACCUUACGACCAUAUAAACCAUCACUCAGUUAAUCUAUCCAUUUCGAAAACACUUAGACCUAUACUCUCAAUAUAGUCAAAAACACACAAAUCUCCACCUUCGUAAUGGGGAUCAAGAGUAUAUGAUAUGAGGCCUCCAUGGUGACAUCUUAAUGUAAUAAAUGUGCUGCCCGUUUCUGGUUAAAGAAAACAAUAUAUAUCAAAAAAAAAGUGAUUGUUAAUCUUCAUCAUUUCAUACAAUAAACUGUUGACCCACACAACAACUUUCUAACAAGGACCACUUUAACACUUUUUCCAUACACAUGGCCGAAUACAACCAAAAUUUGCAUUAUUGUUUAUUAGUCACUCUCACCACAAAAUUGUAGUCAAGCAGAAACUAUUACACAAACAUAAAGGACCACAUUCACACUAUAAUAAUCAAACCAAGACAAAUUUUUUAAUUUAUUUAUACCUCAUACAAAUGGCCAGAUCUGGAAAAAGAAUAGCCAUAAAUUAUAGUGAAGAACCAUUUCCAAAAAAGUACAAACACAAGGGACCACAUAUAAGGUAUCCUUCUCUAAAAAAACACAUAACUUUAUGCAAUGUAAUUGUUGAUUUUGGGUAUAAAUACCGUAAUUUGGGGGUGGACAAAUGUGGAGCUCUUUCUUCCGCAAUGCCAUUUUUUUCUUCAUCUAAAAUGCUCCACGGAUGCCGUCUAUGCCCUCCUUCUUGCCAGCAGGUGCUCGAAAUUGUUACGGUGAGAUUGGCCAAAAAAACUUUUAGGGCUGAAGAAUGGAGAAGAAAGAAGGAGAAGACUGGAACUUUUCCCUUUUGCUAUUUUUCAAAUUUUCGUCCGUUAGAAAAAGUGGCUCCAUUCGGUUUGACCCGAUUUUAUUGGGUAUAAAGUUGGAUUUGACGGAGCGUGUUUCUCACAUGCAAAGUUCCGUCCCAAUUAAAUAAUUGUCCUUCAUUUCCCGUCAAUUGUCCUUAAUUGGCCAAAAUUACGGAACUUUGAGGAUGAAAUAUGUUUUGGGUGAAACUGGUCAACAACCCAAAUUUUGAGGAUGAAAAAUGCAUUUUUCCCUUUCUACUAAAUAUGAGUUUCAAAAGUCAAAUUAAGUUAAACAUAAAAGUUUGAAUUGAAUGUCACUUUCAGAAUAUCAAAUUCAAUUAAAAUUAAGCAUUUUUGCUGAACUUGACUUUCAGGAUAUCAAAUUUUCAGGAUAUCAAAUUGAUUUAAAAUUGAAAUUUGUACUAAAUGUAACUUUAAAAAACCAAAUUAAAAUGAACUUUUUUUCAAUUUGUUUUUCCUUCCCUCUUACCACUAAACUCAACCCUCCCCCAUCAAAUUAAACUGAACAAUUUAUACUGAGUAGGACUUCAAAAUGUCAAAUUUAGUUAAAAUUAAAAAUUCGUAAUAAUUGUGACCUUUAGGAAAUCACAUUUAGUUAAAAGUAAGAGUUUGUACUUGAUAUGACUUUUAAAUUUAGUUGAAUAUGAGAUAUUGUACUAAUGCAAGUUUAAAAAAGAAAAAACAAAUGAGGUUAAAUGUAAAAAUUUGUGCUCAAUGUGACAUUCAAUAAUCAAAUUCAAUAAAAAUUGAGAGUUUGUAGCGAAUGUUGAGAGUUUUAUUUAAAUGAACCGUAAAAGUUUGUAGCGAAUGUCACAUUGAGAGUUUUAUUUAAAUGAAGGGUUAUUAUUACUUUACCUCCUUAACGUUUGGUGCCACUAUCAAUUUCCCCCUUAACGUUAUCUUUUAGUCACUUUACCCCUAAGAUUAACGGUCAAAUUUAACGGAGUUUGUUAAUUAAAGUGAAAAGACAUGUUUAAUCCUUAAAAUUAUUAUUACUUUACCCCCAUAAACUAUAGUUUCAUUAUCAAUUUACCCCCUAAAGUUAUUUUUUAGACAAUUUAUCCUACCAUUAAACCAACUUAGCAAGUUAAAAAACUUUAGAAGAAAAUACCCUCCUCUUUGCAUAAUAAAAAUAUUUAGAGUGCCUCUUCUUCUUUUUAGUAUCAAGAAAAAAAGUCAAAAUAUUAAUUUCUUUCUUCUUGGUAAUCUUAUUAAUAUCAAAAAAGAAUAGAAAGAUGGAGAGGGGGAGGGGUAGGGGGAGAGGGAGAGACCCCAAUUCUUUUUAAAAAAAUUACAAAUAAGAAAGAAUUAAAUACUUUAUUAUUUUAAAAUUAUUUCACUUUUCUGUUUACUACCAAAUUCUAAUCAUAAUCUCGACAAUCUUAAUGUAAUAUGAUAAUGUUAGACUUUUCUUUAUUUUCUUUCUUUGCAAAAUCUAAUUUUCUUUCUUUUUCUUUUCUCUCUCUUUUUCUUUUCCUAGUAUUAAUAAGUGUGAAAAAAGAAAUUUGAGAAAACCCUUUUAUUUUUAUGUUUUUCAAUCUCUUAAAGUGAAAAAAAGGGAAGAAUAACCAUUCCAACUUUUAUAUUUUUAAUUAUAUAUAAAAAAGGGUAAAUAUACUGAAAAUUUUUUGACCAUACUAGUUAGAUUAACAAUGAAGUAAAAUGCCUAGAAAAUAAUGUAAAGAACUAAAGUGAUUGUAUCACUAUAAUCUAAACGAAUAAAGUGAUAAUAACAAUGUAGUAAUGCUAUAAAAUAAAAGGGUAUUUUUGUCUAAAAUUUCUUAACAUGUUGAGUUGAAUUACUUAUGGGGAUAAAGUGAUUAAAAGAUAACGUUAGGGGAUAAACUGAAAGUAGUGAUAUAGUUUAAGGGGGUAAAGUGAUAAUAACCCUUAAAUGAACUGUAAAAGUUGUUUUUACAAGAAAUAUCUAGCCAACCUUCCUGCAAGAGAUUCAAGCCUAUUGGGACUAUAAAUAGAAAUGAUACCUCCAACAAUUUCUUUGUUUUCAACGCUUCCUAAUUUCCAGGAAUUAGUCACUUCAACAACCUUUGAUGGUUAUACGGAUAUCCAAAGUACAAACGAGAUGGAUGCUUGUUGUCCCAACCAUUCUUUUAGUCCCGAGCCCGAUAAGGAAGGGGGUAAUUUAUAACAAAGUUUUCGUGUUGUUGAUUCCUAGGAGUAGUGCUUCUUCCCCUAUGCUGCCUAUUAGUACUAAUGGAAUAGGAUUAACCCAUAAUACAAAACCUCUAGGCGUAACCUUUCGCUUAAUACUAGAAUCGACAGUUGAAACAUAGCAUCUGAGGUUGCAUUAAUCGAGGAUACACGACAGAAGGGAUUGUUCUAUUUACAAGCUUCACCUUCAACAAGCGUCGAUUUUUUGAAAAAAAGUUUCCGUGUCUUUUUGAUAAGACUGAUAGAAAUGAAUCAAUAUGAAAAUAAAGAAAAAAGAAUCAAAUCGCACC